GAAACUCAGGAAGGGGUAAAUGCAAAGCUUAACCUUUGGAGAGAAGUGUUGGAAUCUAAAGGUCUUCGCCUAAGCCGAUCAAAGACAGAAUAUAUGGAGUGCAAGUUCAGUGCAAAUGGAGGCCAAAACGAGUUAGGGGUGAGGAUCGGAGAUCAAGAAAUACCAAAGAGCGACCGUUUUCGUUACCUAGGAUCUAUCUUGCAAAAGAACGGAGAAUUAGAUGGAGAUCUCAACCAUAGAAUACAAGCUGGAUGGAUGAAGUGGAAGAGUGCAUCCGGCGUGUUGUGUGACCGCCGUAUGCCACUGAAGCUCAAGGGAAAAUUUUAUAGGACGGCAAUAAGGCCGGCGAUGCUGUAUGGCACAGAAUGUUGGGCGGUGAAACAUCAACACGUACACAAAAUGGGUGUAGCGGAGAUGAGGAUGCUUCGUUGGAUGUGUGGGCACACGAGAAAGGAAAAGAUUAGGAAUGAGGAUAUCCGGGGUAAAGUAGGAGUAGCCGAAAUUGAAGGAAAGAUGAGAGAAAAUCGGUUACGGUGGUUUGGACAUGUGCAAAGAAGGCCUACUGACGUUCCGAUUAGAAGAUGCGACUAUGGGACAGAGGUGCAGGGCCGAAGGGGUAGAGGAAGACCUAGGAAAACUUUGGAAGAGACUCUAAGAAAAGACUUAGAGUACUUGGAUCUAACGAAGGACAUGACACAGGAUCGAGCACAAUGGCGUUCUAAGAUUCAUAUAGCCGAUCCCACUCAGUGACUUGGAUUUUCCAAGUCUCCAACCGAGAAGUUUUCCUCACUUCGGGAAAUUAAGGGAACACUACCCCAACCUACAUGCUCCACUCAGAAAGCUUCAACAUACAAGCUUUAACAAAAGAAAAUUCAAAGAACUUAGCGAAGAAGGCUUUGGUGUAUUUAACACAAUACGUUGAAAUGAAGGAAAGCUUAUUUAUUGAUAUCCCCGAUAAGCUACAAAUAUGUACAUAUACAUGAGUCAAAAUAAACACACAAGAGGGAGCCUUCACAAAGGUUGCUUAGGAGAAGUCUCAGCAGUCGGUAGAGCCCCAGAAAGAGAAGGCACCGGAGGGGGAUCAUUUGGAGCCUCAGUACUGGACAGAACCCUAGAAGGAGGAGGCAUCAGAGGUUGAUCAUUUGGAGCUUCAUUACGCGGUACAGCCCCAGAAGACGAAGGCAAUAAAUGCCUUUGGAACAAACCCACAAAUCUCUGAUGAUCAAGUAAAACCUGACCAUCAGUUUCCUUCAUCUGGUCAAGCUUCCUCUUCAUGUUUGUAGCAUAGUCAUGUGCGAGCCGGUGCAACUGUUUAUUCUCAUGCUUGAGCCCUCUAAUCUCCUGUUUGAGACUCAUCACUUCAGCCGCCAAUGAUUCAACUUGGCGGGUUCGAGCAAAUAGGCGUUGGGCCAUAUUAGACACAGAACCUGCACACUGAACACUGAGAGCCAGCGAAUCCUUAACAGCUAACUCAUCAGACCGUUUGGAAAGUAGUCUGUUAUCUUUGGGAGUGAGAAGGUUCCUGGCCACCACCGCAGCGGUCAUAUCAUUCUUCAUCACGGAAUCCCCAACGGUAAGAGGACCAGUAGGGGAGACGAAGGAUGGGCGCCAUAUGUUGUCUGGAGAAGGCGGGGCUGCCUCUUCAACAAGGUUCAAGUCAAAACGACGGUCGGAGGGGCCAGACAUUUUCAAAGGUGUUGAAGAGAGAAGAGGUCGGACAAAUCAAGAUCUUAGAAGUGCAAGAAUGAAGCUUCUACUGGUGGAGAUUCAAGUGUGCUUUGGAACUUAAUGCCAGCCCCUAUAAAAAUCUGCACUCGACGAAGCUUCAGAAAUCGAAGAGGCGCCUGCUCAGAAAUCGAAGAGGCGUUUGCUUUCUCAAAAGCUGGGCUGCUUAGAGAUCACGAGGGUUGAUCUCAGAAAUCGAAGAGGCGUUUGCUUUCUCAAAAGUUGGGCUGCUCAAAGACCACGAAGGCCGAUCUCAGAAAAUCGAAGAGGCGCUCGCUUUCUCAAAAGCUGGGCUCCCCAGAGACCACGAGGGCCGAUCUCAGAAAUCGAAGAGGCACCUACUUUUCCAGCCUUUUCCAGCCUUGUCAGCACCUGUCACACGCACACUCAGUUUUGCGGAAAUUAUGGGCAUUCUGUCAAAGACUUCUGGGGAAGUAGAAAACACAUGAAUCUUACUGUUCAAUCACCCACUUCCCACACACGCAACAAUAGCUCAUGGGUACCACAGAUAACUUUGCCAAAGUUCUCUGCCAAAGUUGAGCACGUGAAGCUUGCAGCUCCCACUACAUCGCUCUGACCAAGAAGGGUAAAAGAAUAGCAAAAAAGAAACAGCACUAACAAAGUUUAGACCCAUAAAUUUUGAAGGUCUAGCUACCAUAUUAUUACCCACAAGGGUAAAGGAACAGUACCACUGCUGGAUAAUUGGAAAAGUCCCUGUGUGUGUCAACCUCUGUGCUUCGUGGCAAGGUAGACUAGCAAACAUGCCCAACCUUUACUCACAUUCGAGAAAACACUCCCAAUAAGAUUGCUUGCUCCAAAAUCGAAGAGGCACCGUCCUCCGAAUCUCGAGAGCCAGACUCCCAACAUGACUACUUUUCUUAAAAAAUCGAAGAGAGGGUAAAGGAACAGUACCAUUGCUGGAUAAUUGGAAAGUUCCUGUGUGUCAACCUCUGUGCUUCGUGGCAAGGUAGACUAGCAAACAUGCCCAACCUUUACUCACAUUCGAGAAAACACUCCCAACAAGAUUGCUUGCUCCAAAAUCGAAGAGGCACCGCCCUCCGAAUCUCGAGAGCCAGACUCCCAACAUGAUUACUUUCUCAAAAAUCGAAGAGACACUGCUCCCCGAAUCUCGAGAGCCAGACCCCCAGCAUGAUUGCUUUCUCAAAAAUCGAUGAGGCAUCGUUCUCCGAAUCAAUCGAAGAGGCGCUCGCUUUCUCAAAAGCUGGGCUGCUCAGAGACCACGAGGGCCGAUCUCUCAGAAAUCGAAGAGGCACCUACUUUUCUAGCCUUGUCAAGCACCUGUCACACGCACACUCAGCUUUGCAGAAAUUAUGGGCAUUCUGUCGAAGACUUCUGGUGAAGUAGAAAGCACAUGAAUCUUACUGUUCAAUCACCCACUUCCCACACGCAACAAUAGCUCAUGGGUACCACAAAUAACUUUGCCAAAGUUCUCUGCCAAAGUUGAGCACGUGAAGCUUGCAGCUCCCACUACAUCGCUCUGACCAAGAAAGGUAAAAGAAUAGCAAAGAAACAGCACUAACAAAAGUUUAGACACAUAAAUUUUGAAGGUCUAGCUACCAUAUUAUUACCCACAACUGGUAAAGGAACAGUACCACUGCUGGAUAAUUGGAAAGUCCCUGUGUGUCAACCUCUGUGCUUCGUGGCAAGGUAGACUAGCAAACAUGCCCAACCUUUACUCACAUUCGAGAAAACACUCCCAAUAAGAUUGCUUGCUCCAAAAUCGAAGAGGCACCGUCCUCCGAAUCUCGAGAGCCAGACUCCCAACAUGACUACUUUCUCAAAAUCGAAGAGAGGGUAAAGGAACAGUACCAUUGCUGGAUAAUUGGAAAGUCCCUGUGUGUCAACCUUUGUGCUUCGUGGCAAGGUAGACUAGCAAACAUGCCCAACCUUUACUCACAUUCGAGACAACACUCCCAACAAGAUUGCUUGCUCCAAAAUCGAAGAGGCACCACCCUCCGAAUCUCGAGAGCCAGACUCCCAACAUGAUUACUUCCUCAAAAAUCGAAGAGACACUGCUCUCCGAAUCUCGAGAGUCAGACCCCCAGCAUGAUUGCUUUCUCAAAAAUCGAAGAGGCAUCGUUCUCCGAAUCUCGAGAGCCAGAUACCACAGACCACUUUUUCAAAAGUGCUCUGACAGAGUUAAAACAUGUGAAACUGGCAGCUCCCACUACCGUGCUAUGACCAAGCAGGGUAAAGGAAUAGCAUUACUACUUGUUGUUAGGGAGACUCCUAUAUAUGUCGACCUCCAUCCCCAACGGACAGGCAGACCUGCAAAAAUGCUCAACCCUUCAUCAUAUCUGAGAGGGCACUCCCAACGAAGCCUUUCGAAAUAUUCAGCUUUCUUUCCCCCCGAUAAUACCUCUGCAAAACAAGCUAUACUAGAGCAAGAAUAUCUCAUAUCAUCAGGGUUAAAAGCAAGAGUAUCCCAUAUCAUGCUUUUUUCCCUGUCUUUUCUUUUGGCCUUGUUUUUACCUGCAAGACAAGGAGAAAGAGAGCAAUCAGUCAGCACUUGGAAUCAAGCUUCCAGCCAGGAACUGACUGCCUGGAACCCCUUACCUGAUUACUUACCUGGCAUUGCUCUCGAGUACUCAUCUUCAACAUCUUAUGUUUCCAGGGAAGAUUCCGCAUCUGCUUGAGGAACAGAUAGGGCAAGUGCGAAGGAUACAAGGAAGCAUGUGGAGACAAGCGUAACAGCACACGUGCCGAUACAUCCAUUACUCUGUCAAAAGCAAAAGUAUCCCAUAUCAGCAGGGUGGAACGUACUCUAGAUUUGAUGGACUUGUUUUGACCCUCAAAUUCUUCAGUCGGCCUUAUACUCUGGAGGAAACCAGAAAACCCUCCAGCUCAGUUCAAGAAUAAGCCUGUGGAAAGUUACUUCUUCAAAAGCAAAAGUAUCUCAUAUCAUCUCUUCUCAUUUUUCUUCUCUUUAUCCUUCAUGCUGCUGCAAGAUGGGGAGAAGGUGAACAAUCAGUCGGAGCUCUGAUUGCUUACCUUGUCUGUCACCUCUUUCAGCAGACCCCCCUAGCUCGGCGACUUGGGGGACUCCUACUACAUGGUUUGUAUCGCGCUUGACCAAGCCUGAAACUACAAGUAAGCUUCAAGUGAAAUUGAUACAUUACCUUGUGCAUCUCCACCAGUUAAAGAUACCACCCCUGGAUGGAGGAAGAGUACUUCCAGAGAAGAUGCCACAUCUACCUAUGAGACAGAUAAGGCAAGUCAAGACGACACCACACUCCGAUACUUAGAAGUUUCGUGAUUACGAGAUCAUUCUCCCACAAUAUUUCCUAAUGUCAUUUGUACUAAAUCAUUCACUUGUACUCACUAAAGGAGAGCUUGAACCUAUGUACUUGUGUAAACCCUUCACAAUUAAUGAGAACUCUUCUAUUCCGUGACGUAGCCAAUCUGGGUGAACCACGUACAUCUUGUGUUUGCUUUCCUAUCUCUAUCCAUUUAUAUACUUAUCCACACUAAUGACCGGAGCAAUCUAGCGAAGAUCACAAAAAAGCGACCGUUUUCGCUACCUAGGAUCUAUCUUGCAAGAGAACGGAGAAUUAGAUGGAGAUCUCAACCAUAGAAUACGAGCUGGAUGGAAAGAGUGCAUCCGGCGUGUUGUGUGACCGUCGUAGGCCACUGAAGCUCAAGGGAAAAUUUUAUAGGACGGCAAUAAGGCUAGCGAUGUUGUAUGGCACAGAAUGUUGGGUGGUGAAGCAUCAACACGUACACAAAAUGGGUGUAGCGGAGAUGAGGAUGCUUCGUGGGAUGUGUGGGCACACGAGAAAGGAUAAGAUUGGGAAUGAGGAUAUCCGAGGUAAAGUAGGAGUAGCCGAAAUUGUAGGAAAGAUGAGAGAAAAUCGGCUCCGGUGAUUUUGAACAUGUGCAAAGAAGGCCGACUGACGCUCCGGUUCGAAGAUGUGACUACGGGACAGAGGUUCAGGGCCGAAGGGGUAGAGGAAGACCUAGGACAACUUUGGAAGAGACUCUAAGAAAAGACUUAGAGUACUUGGAUCUAACGGAGGACAUGACACAAAACCGAGCGCAAUGGCGUUCUAGGAUUCAUAUAGCCGACCCCACUUAGUGGGAAAAGGCUUUGUUGUUGUUGUUUGUUGUUGAAAGUGGGUGAGGAAAUAAGAGAAUGAGGGUACGUAGGCAUAGCACCAAAGCUUAAUUAUUUUUCAUGAGCCUUUUUCCUAUUAUUUAGAGCUAUAUAUAACAGAUAAGUUACUUAACAUGAAAGGGCUUUUAGGAGAAUAAUGAAAUUGGAUUUUUCAGGAUUUCUUCACGGCAGGUACAGAUACAACCGCCAUUUCAAUGGAGUGGGCACUAGCAGAGCUCAUCAACCACCCGAAGGUGCUGGAGAAAGCAAGGGAGGAGAUUGAUCGAGUCGUUGGGAAUAGACGGAUAGUCGUAGAAUCAGACGGUCCAAGCCUUCCAUACAUACAAGCCAUCAUAAAAGAAACACUGAGACUGCACCCACCUGUGCCUAUGAUCCCAAGAAAGAGUGUACAAAAGUGUAACAUUGGAAACUAUGUGAUCCCAGAAAACACAAUGCUAUUUGUGAAUGCUUGGGCCAUCGGAAGGGACCCAAAGUAUUGGGAAAAUCCUUUGCACUUUUACCCUGAAAGAUUCUUAGCACCACUCAGUGGUGGAGGAGAUGGAGCGCGUGCAUUAGAUCUUAGGGGGCAACAUUUUCAGCUGCUUCCGUUUGGGACCGGGAGGAGGAUAUGCCCUGGUAUAAACCUAGCCCUGCAAAUGCUGCCAGCCCUACUUGGUGCAAUGGUUCAAUGCUUUGAUUGGAAAGUUGUUGGGGUAAAUCAGAAGCAUAUGAACGGUGAUGAGGUUCUGGAAAUGGAUGAACGGCCAGGAAUGGCAACUCCACGAGCCCAUGAUUUGAUUUGUAUUCCAGUGGUACGUUUUGAUCCCGAGUUGUAUCCUUGACCCAUAAAGCAGGUGAGCAUAUUGUAAUUGUUUGAAGACUUUGAUCCAAAUGAAGUUUGAGGACUUGAAGUGGGUGUCAAACUUACAUGGAAAUGGAUAAAUAACACUACGUUAUUUCUAUUCCUAUUUAAGUUUUCUUUUUCGAAGUACUUUUAUGAUUAAGGCUUACUUAAGCCUCAUGUACAUUACAUGAAGUCUCACUUUAUUUCUACAGUUUGUCAUGUCCCACUUUGUUUCCUGCACUUAUCCAUUAUGUUUCACUUUACUCCGUUUCUUUAAUUGGGUUAAAGAGACGUUAGUUUCGUUGAUUUGACAAAGGCUCUUUGAUUUUUUUCAGUCAAUUUUUACAUUUCGCUCUCAAAUUACCAUAUAUUGUCCUUAAAACUCACAAUUUCUUCAAUCUAUCACUAUAUUCACUGUUGAAAAGAUCGAAGGACCCCUACCAUAUUAAUGAAACUGAUGCUCAACCCAAUUGACGGAAUGGGGUACCGUGUGACAUGAAAAAUAAUUACAAAGGAUAAAGUGAGACAGAAUCAAAUGUAUGUUGUGAAGCGAAAUUUUGUCUAGAGUAUAUAGGGGUACCAAAAAAUAAGCUUUAAUAGUAAAAUUGGUUAUGUAAUUAGGGUAUACAAGGAAAAAUCACAUAGGGUGACAUGUUACAAUGAGAGAGCUAUAGCUAAAGGAUAUUGUUUGGCUCCUUAUAAUUACAUGUAUCAUAAUCAAAAUCAUUCAUUCUUUUAAUAAUUAUCUAAAGAUAAUCUAAAAAGACAAUUAUUUUGGUUUGAAGUCCGUUUAGUCAUAUAUAUAUAUAUAUAUAUAUAUAUAUAUAUAUAUAUAUAUAUAUAUAAUGUAUUCAAUGUCAAAAUCAAAGAUUGAUAAUAUGGCUUGCCAUCGUGCAAAAAUUUGUUUUGAUGCAAUGUUUUGAACAUCUUUUUGUAAAACAUGUUUUGCAGAUUUACAAUCGACUCUAACAAGAAAUUUUUGAUUUAAUAAAUCAUCUUGAAAUUUACUAAUGCAUAAUACUAUAGAUAAUAUUUCUUUCUUAAUAGUACUAUAGUUAGUUUGAGCGGGAUUCCAUACACCUGAAUGAAAACGAACAAUUUGUUCAGGUGAUCCGGAAGAAGUUUGCUGCUUGAGAAUUCCUCCAUAACUAACGUCAGAGGCGUCAGUUUCAACUAUCUUAAAAGAGUUGGGAGUUGGAAUGCCAAGACAGGGCAAAGUCUUAACAUGAUUUUUUAUCUGUUUGACAAUAGAAGUAUGGAUGGUAGACCAAACAGGGGGAUUCUCCUUAAGACGGUCAAACAAAGGUUUACAUUGUUGACGCAGAUGAGGAUAAAAUUCUGAAACAUAAUUCAAAGAACCUAAGAAUCUUUGAAGCUGUGAUUUUUCAGUAAUCUGAUCUGGAAAUUUAUCUGCAAAUUGGAUGACACGGUCAAUUGGUUGGAUGGUAGAUCUAUGGAUAUUAUAACCUAAGAAUCUAACCUUAAGUUGAAACAAUUUAAUCUUAGUGGCUGACACAACUAAUCCGUUUGAUCUAAUGAUCCUAGCAAACAAGUGCAAAUGUUUCCAAUGUUCAUCGAUAGAUUUAGAAUAAACGAGAACAUCAUCAAUAUAAACAAUAGUAAAAUGGCUAUACUGAUUGAAAAUCUCAUUCAUGAUAUUCUGAAAUUCAGAUGGUGCAUUCUUUAAACCGAAAGGCAUAACAUUCCAUUCAUAAUGGCCGAAAGGCGUUACGAAAGCAGUUUUAUAUUUAUCAGAUUCAUGAAUUUGAAUCUGCCAAAAUCCUGAUUUCAUAUCAAACUUUGAGAAAAUAGUUGCUUUACUAAGCCUUUUUAUUAGAUCUCUUUUGUUAGGGAUUGGAUAUCGAAUCCAUUCCAAAACUUCAUUUAAAGGUUUGUAGUUAAUAACUAAGCGGGGAGUUCCUCUUUCAAUUUCUGCACUUUUCUGUACAUAAAAUGCAGGACAUGACCAAGGCGAUUUACUUUUACGGAUAAUUCCUUUAUUAAGAAGAUCCUGUAUUUCUGCUUUGCAGAAAUCCAUUACUUCUUGACUCAUUUGAAUAGGUCUGGCCUUAGUAGGUAUUUUUGACUCAUUAAAUUCUUUGAUGUAAAGUAGUUUAACAAUAUGUUGUUUUCGGUGCCAAAAGGCGUUUGGAAUAUCAGAACAUACUUCCAUAACAAGCUGUGCUUCGAAUUUAGAGAUUUUUUGAGAUAAGAUCUCUUGUUUGAGUUGUUCUUCAGUUCUUUUAUGAUGAAUAUCAUCUUUUAAGAAUUGAAGAUGUUUGGUCUUAUUAGAAAUUAUGUUUAAGGAUCGCAAAGUGCUAUCCUUCUGGAGGUGUCUAAGUUUUUUGAGGUCUGUUUCUAGGCAGAAUUCAAAUGUGACUUUCUGUCCUAAGACUUUUGAGGUAAUCCUAUUAUGAUGAGUUUUGAAUGGAUAUAAGAGUGCGAUAAAAGGUAAUCCUAAUAUGACAGGGUCAGACAAGUUCUUGAUUAGAACAAAAGGUGUUUUGAAAUAAACUUCAUUUUGGCAGACAUGUGCCUUAGGAAGUUCAUAUUUGAUUUCCAUUGGAGACUCAUUAGCAGCACUAAGGAUUUCCUUUGAUUUGUGGAAAUACCUAGUGGGAAUUAGUCAUUCUUGAAUACAAUUCAAGUCUGCGCCUGAAUCUAUCAAUGCUAUUGUUUCGAAACGAAAAUCUUCGAUUACUAUCGUUACUUUAGAAUACCAUUUUUGGAUUCUAAUUUUGUGAAGAAGAUUCAGAACUAAGUGUUCUGAAAUUUGGUCAGAAUCUGACUCAGAAUGACUACUGGAAGAAGAGGAACUGAAUAGUUCUUCUUUUGGAGGAAUAUUGACUCUAGUGAGUUGUGUACGAAUCUCAUGGUUAUCAGAUUUCAAUAGUUUAAUUUCAUCUUUAAUUUUAUUAAUUUCUUUUUGGAGGUCACUGACUGUGAUAUCUUUCUUAGUCUUACUAAACUUUGCUAGUGUGGUUCUAAGAGAUAUUUGUGGUUUUUGGAUCUGGGAUUGGCUACUACCUACUUAUUCUUGGGAGACUAAAUCUUUGAGUUUUUUGAGGUAGAACUUUUUGAGUCCAGGGUCCUCAACAUUGCUGAUUAGUUCUAAGAGUAAUUCUUCUUGUUUUUCUUGUUUAGUUAUUACUGAUAUAUUUUUACAACAGGCAUCAGGACAUCCAAGUUUGAUGUCUAGGGUAGAAUGCUUGCUAGAAGCAGAUUGAUAUGAAGAUGAUGAGGUAGAACCAAGAUCAUCUUCGGAUGAAUGACUAUUGUCAAUAUCCUGGAGUUCUAGGGUUUGAAUAAGUUAAAGUUUUUCUUCUUCAGAAAUCUUCAACUGGCUUAUGAGUUUCUUAACUUUACACUUAUUAGCGUAAUGACCUUCUUUGCCACAUUUGUAGCAUUUUCCCUUAUGACUAUUGUCUUUAGAGUGGAAUUUUCCAGAGGAUUUUCUCUUUCCUUUCCAUUUCUGGGAUCUGGGGUGUUCGUAAAACGGGUUUGGUUUGGCAUACUUGCCUUUGCUAUAUUUGGAGUAGUUAGUAUGAGGUUUAGAGAUCUUAGAUCUACGGAAGCUAGUUGAUUUUUUCUGGAGGUUGGAAGGAGCUAUAGGUGGUAGACCAUAUUGUUCACAGAAUGUUCCUAAUUCAUAUUUGGCUAUUGCUUUUUCAGAUUGGAUUUGUCUAGAUAUUUUCAUAUCUAUGCACAUUUUCAAACCUUCUUUUUGGAUAGUACUUAUGAUAUGUCCAUAAGUAAGGUUUUCAUAUGGUAUAAUACCGUCUUCGUUUAUCAAGGUAUUCCUUAUUUUAUGUGCAAAAAGGUUUGGUAAGCCAUUUAUGAAUUUUUCUUUCCAAAAUGGUUGAUUACUAUCAUCUCUAAGCAUGACUCUUGACAGGAAUACAUCUUUAUACCAUCUAAAAUCACUUAAGGUAGGACACCUUAAGUUACUUAGUUGGUCAUGGACCCUGGAUGUGAUGUUAGAAGGGAUUCCUAUGAAGUGUUGUAUGAUUGUAUAGAGUAAGGUAUUGAUUGCAUCUGGGACACCACAUCCUAGAUGUUCAUCGAAGAUAGGUAUUCCUUCUUCAUCCUGUUUUACUGCAUAUCUAAUUAGAUUUCGGGAUUCCUCAGUAAGGUGUUUCUCCCACCAGGAAUGAAGCAUUCCUGUGAAUCCAGAAACAAUGAUGUCUACAAUUUGGGUUUGACUAAGGUCAUGAUUAGUAAUAUAGCUAUUUGCUACCAUGGAGAUAUGUUGGAGUUUGUUUAAUAACUCUUGUUCUGAUAAACCAUCUAUAUUCCAUUCAUAGAGUUUAUCAGAUGAAACAGUGAAUUGGGAUUGGAAAUUCCUUUCUUCAAAUUGAAGAUCAGGAGGUGUUGGUCUGGGAUACCAAUUUUUAGUUAAGGAUGUAGGAUUAGUUCUUUUGACGUUAAUACGUUUCAAUUCAGGACUCUGAAAAGCAUUCCAUUCCAUAUGGGGAAUGGAAUCAACACUUUCAUCUUCUGAAGCCAGAAUUGAAUAAGGUGUUUCUGAAUUAUGUGGAUUAUUAAUUACACGAACUGAUUUUUCCUUUUCAAGCUUACUGAGCAUUUGGUCAAUCCUACUGGAUGUUGAGGUUUUUAAAGAGGGUAACUCUUUAAAACUGGUUAAGGGUAUGUCUUUAUUAAGAGGUUUGAUUGACAAGUUAUCAAUUUUUGUUUCUAUUUUGUCCAACUGUUUUCCUAUGGUAUGUAGGCUUUGGUUGGUAAAAUUGUUUUGUUCAAUAACAGGUUUAACCCCUGCAUCAUCCUUCGGAAGUUUGAAUGGUGAGGCUGGGAUUUGCGUAUUGACCGUGGUGAUGAGAAUAGUUUCUUGUGGGGGAUGACUGGAGGAGACAAUUGUCUUGUCUUCCUUAAGCCAAUUUUCUUUGGUUAUGACCUUUACUUGUUUUUCAGACUCAUAAUGUUUUUCUACGAAGUCGAAGAAAAAUAUUUCAAGUCGGUUAGUUUGCAUGAAAUCUUUCCAUGCUUUAUGAAUUUGUAGUUUUUCUUCAGCAGUAUACUUACUUCUGAAGAUGUUUCGUCGAGGGACAUUUUCUAAGGCUUCUAUGUCUUUACAAAGUUUUUUACGAUCAUAUUUAAAAGGUUCUUGUCUGGUUAAGACCAAUAAUUGGUGAUGUACUGGUUCUGCGUCAAAAUCAGAAGCAGUUGGGGAUGUUUGUUCUUCCUUAUUAAGAACAGGUUGGGUUUGGUAAGUAGGCUGGACGACUUGAGCGUUUGUCUCAAGUGACUGAAGUUUAAAAUUUAAAAGGUCAUUUAUUAAUUCUUGUUAUGUGACUGAUGAGCCUGUAUCUACUGAUUUUAAUUUUAAGUUCCUAUCCGCAAAAGAAUUGAUUAAUUCUUGGUCUCGACCUUGCCUAUCGUUUGACAUAGAUCCAGAGAAAGAAUUCCUACUGGAAGCAAAAUAUUUAAGUGAUCUAUUAGAAUCACAAGAUUUUCUGGCAGGACGAUCAAAAUUAAUUUUAACCGUACCGUCAAAGUAUUGUUCUAUAUUGUCUAAAUUGACUAGACUAUUUUGGAUGGCUACAGGCCUACUUUCGUUUAUCAGGCACCAAUCUGAAGGGAGAUUGAUUUCUGACCACCUAAUGGUUCUUGGUAUUUUAAUAUUGGCAUUCUCUUGAUUGGUUUGAAUCAAGAGAGUAUGAUCCUUCGGGCUUUUGGUUAAAGCUUGAAAGUUCAUAUUUGUGCCAGUGACUUUAUAGUAGAUUCUGUAAAUUAGUACCAAAGGUUGUGUUCCUUCAAGGACUUUAUAUCCUGAAGUUUUGAUAUUUAGUGUGAGUGCUUUUAACAUAUGUGGGUCGGAUAGACUUAUAGUGAGAUCUGGAAAACAGUCAAAGUGAAUAGGUCCAUUACAAAGGCUGGAUUCAACCAUACCAAGUAUGCUAUCACUGAAGUCAGUGAAUCUAGCAUCUCGGAGACAUAAGAGGAUGGAGGUAUUAAGACCUCUACGUGUUAAUGGUUUGGCUGCAAUUUGCACUAAACCUAUAUGAAUAUAAUUAUGACCAUCUUUCCUAUGGGAAUUAAUUUGUUCUGGGGUAAACAAUUGACAAGUUUCAUGAUCUUUACUAAGAGCAUAAACUUGUUUAACAGUUUUCACAUGAUGUUCAGUUUUAAAAGAGGCUAAAGCCCAUUUCUUUUUAUAAAUAUUUUUUUAAGAUACUUUUGGAAUGUUCCAUUCAGCAAAAUCUAGACUACUGUCUGUUUGAAAUUCAAAUUUUUGUUCUUCAUUGACAAUGUCAGGUAUUGUUUCUAAAUUUGAUCUAGAGCUAGUGCUGGCCAUAGAAUUAGAUCUAAAUAAUCUACUCAUACCAAUAAAUAUCAGACAAUCAAAAUACAGUAAUCUUAACAAAAAAAUCUUACUAGUGAAUCUAAUCACCAAGCUCUCUGGGUCACGCGUGCCGCUCAGACCCUAUCCUCCGGGACUUACUGUUUGGAUGACGCCUUACUGCUCAGACCUUAUGGCAAAGAGAUAACACUAAGAAGAUUAAACUGAUAAGAUGAACUGGAAAGAGAUUGAAAGAAAUCAAAGGUAUAAAUAGAGUAUUUGGAUACUAAUGGUAUAACCAACCACUUGGCUCUGAUACCAAAUGGGUGCGGAAACGGAAUAUAUAUAUUGAUAUUAUAUACUCGAAAUAUUUGAUUAAUAUCAGAUUAGGAUUAACUGGGAAUUGUAAAUUCAUAGAAUCAUUUAUAAGAAUAUAAACAAAUAAAACUAGAUUGAAAGUAGAUGUAAUCUUCAUGAUAAAAUAAUGAAUUAAAAUUAAUGAUGCUAAUAUUCUAUUGAAAAUAUAUUUAUUGAAAAUCGAAAGACUUACAAACAAACGUUUCGUCUACUGACGAUUUAAGUACUGAAUUUGGAGCUCGCAGGCAUCCUUGAUGAUGAUAAUUCAAAAUUAAAAUGCAAGUGUUUUAUGGAUUACAAAUAAGAAGACUCUGUUCUAAAUGAAUACGCAGAGUUUUCUUUUUCUGCUUCCAAAAAAACCCCAUUCUCGAAAGAAACUGAAUGAUCCCUUUAUAGUCGAUGGACGCUGGCUGGAAUGAUUGAGUAAAGAAGCGGGAUCCCCGCUCUGCAUGUGCUAUUACUGUAAAGAGGCCGAAAGCUGAAGAUGCUGUCGGGGACUGUAGUUUUCACGAGGGUGAAUUCUGUGGAUGCAAUGAUGGAUGAAUAGUAAAAGUGGUUUUACUAUUCAUGAAUAGUGUUUUGUCUGCUACUGCAGUUUUGUCCGAAAAUGAUUGCUGCUACUGCUGCUUUCUUUGUCUUCACUUGCUGCUACUGCUUACAAAAUACAAAGUAUUCUAGAGACUACAUACAUUUGAAGUGGAAUUCCCUAUUGGGAUAUACAUGAUAUUACAUUUUAAAACUAAAAUUCGUAAGGGUCUUGAGAAUCAGGCGGGAAAAUAUUUCCUUGUGUGGCUACUGCGCACUGUGAUGAAGCAUCUGAAGAAUUGUCGGAGUCCGAAUUGUCUUCAUUUUCUUCUUGCAGUUCUUUCAUGAGGAUUUUGGCUAGAGCCUUAAGCUUUGAAGUCUUCUUCUUCUUCUUCGAAUCGCUUGAAGAUCUGGAUGAUUUGGCCUUGCCUUUGAGUGAGGAAGAGGGGCUAAUGUCCGAUAAUGAUUCGAUUUCUUCCUUGGUUGGUUCAUGUAAAGCCUCUGCUGGUUGAGCUGCGACUGCAAGUACAGGGGGUGCUUCCUUGGGGAAAUCUCUGAGUAUUACUUCAAUAAUCUUCUGAUGGUUGAAUUUGUCCCACCAUUUGAUCAUUCUUUGACGGAAGACUUGAUUGGAUUCAAUCUCGUAAUUCCAGCGGAGGAUCCAAGGGACCUUGUAUUUUGCCAUGAAUAAGGCGAACAGAGGGAUUCCUUCAUCAAAUCGUGCUCUAUCGAAUUUCUUCUGGAAUGUGUCUGAUAAGACUUGUUUAAAUUCAUCCGGCAUGAGGUCGGAGAUCAGACCAUGAUCUGACCACCAUCUGGGGAACCAUGCGGGAAAAUUCAAUCUGAAACUUCGGUCAAAGGUUAUAAACCAUGAAUGACUAAAAUCUUCUGAUUGGUGUAAGAAAAUAUUAGUCCAGGCUUGAAUGUAAUCAAAAUAAUUAUAAUGGUUCGAGUGGCUGGGGAAGGUAUUACUUCUAAAUGGUUUAGGUUGAAAGAGAGGUAUUCCCCAUUCUGAUUCUAUCAUGAAUUUAUUAAUAGUAAGGGAAUGGUACAGGAUUUUGUGGUGGUUACCAGGGGUUUUAUCAAAGAUAGGUUUUAUGGUGACAGAUGAAGUUUCAUUGAGUAUAGUGGUAUAAUAUUUGAGGGUUUUGUGGAAUUCACUUGGCUGGAAGUGGGAGUUGGUUGGAAACAUCUUUUUGGCUAUGACCUCAGGUGUUUUCAAAUUUUUGUAGGUUAAGGGGAUACUGAAAAGAUAUUCUUUGGAAGGUUUAAUAACAUAAGGAGAUGUUUUGGUAUAGCUUACAGAGGGAGAUGGCGAUUGCCUAUAGGUAGAAGAGAAAGGAUCAUACUGGUUUACUAACGCUGUUUGGUAAUUUGGUCGGAUACUUCCUAUAGUUGAUCCUAAUGGAGUAAAUCUGUUGGUGAUGGCUAAGGCCGAGGAACCGGGAAUAGGUUCCUGUUUUGGUGGUGGUAGUGAGGCAGGAAGCCUCCUUUGUUGGCUACUGCCGUGUGGAGAAGUGGUGUAUAUAUGAAACCACAACUUUUUAAUAAUUUCUUAUUCAUAUAUAUAUUUUUAGACUAUAUUUUGUAGACCAUAAUUUUAUAUCAGCGAGUUUUGGAACCUUUGUCCACAACAUGCAUGAAUAAUUUGCACAGAAAGAUGCACUAGAAAGACGGUACGAACAGAGUCACAUCCUAAAAUGCACCAAUGCAAAUAACACACAUUUCACCAGAGUAAAUCCUAAUCACAAAUCAAUACAGGCAUCUCUAAAGAAUUUAAAUGACCGAGAUGAGGGAACCGAGCUGAUAAAUAUUUAAAUAACCAAGAGAUGGGUGAACCCCAGGAAGAAAAGUAUGCUACCUUUUACUAUAAUUGGAACGAAUUUAAAAAUAUCUCACCAUCACACUACCCAGAACUACAACUCUUAAGGAGAAUGUGAGAAUUAGAGGGGUAUUCUCCAGAUGAUUCUCAGAACAUCCUUUUACAAUUUUUCACCUAAUAUCUCCUAUGUAUGAUUAUAGGCCAAUAACGAAAGGAAAUACAGUCUAAAACACUCUUUAAAUUGUUCCAACAAUAGGAUAAUAGGAUUCACUAAAUCAUUAGAGAUUGCAACAAUGAGAGAGUAUAUAAGCUCACCAAUGUUCCCUUCUACACGUAGAACAAAAUAUCUGCAAAACAAAUAACAUUCAGUCACCGUAGAUACAAAUCAAAAUCUACACGCAAAACUUAAUGUAAAGGAAUCUUAUUGAGAGUAAUGUAGGCGCAUGACGUUUUAACAUGAAGAGUUCAAUAAAGAUACGCUCCAAUUUAGUGAGAAUUAGGAUAAACCUGCAACUAUCAGUUACAGGUUCCACCGGAUGAAGGUGUGCGAGCAUAUAGUUCACCUGCAAGGAUACAUCAGACCAUCCUUCAAUCUAACUGACAACAAACCUACUCUCUCACUUCUCUUUCUGUCUGAAUUCCUUUCAAAUGACAGACAAAUACAACCACCAUACAUGAAAUCACAUUUUCGCUUCUCCCAAGCACUAAAGCUGAAAAACAAACUAGACUUCCAAAAUCAAAAUAAUUGAUUUUACCAAAAGAACAAAAAUAGAAAUGAAAGCAAAGGGAAUAACCUCAAUCAUAAAUGGAUGUAAAGAACUCAAUUCAGUGAAUUCAUUAAUCUUCUAUCCUUUUUUCCCUCGAUUUUCUCGGAAACCAAACAGAAAAUGAGAAAUGAGUUAAAUGCUAUUCAAAAGGGAGAAAAGCACGAAUGACCUAUCACUCAAUUUCUAAUAUCAAACAAACAAAAUUAAUCCAAACCCAAAACAACAUUAAACGUUAAUAUUCAAACUUUACUGCCUUUUACCUCUCUGAAUUGACUCUCAAACCAAACACAAAAACUAAGCUUAGUAAAAAAAUUAUCCAUUUUUAAAAUCACUUGUCAAUUCAACAUAAAAAUAAAAAAUAAAAAAAUAAAAAGGAACAGAAACAGUCCCAAUUACUCCACGACAUUGCGCUUUUUUUGGUCUAAUAAUGCUGCAUACAUGGAAAACUUAAAGCUCAAAGUAGACAUCCAAGAAAAUUAAAUCCUUCUGCAAGGGAUACAACUAUUAACAAAGAUUUGGGAAAUUUCAAUUUUCUGAAUGAAGCAUCUCUUCUCAAUGACAAACUCAGAUAUUGGAAAUAAAAAAUAAUAUUACUAUAGGCAAAGAAAAAAGAAGAAAAAUGAAAGCCAAUAUUAUAGGUGGUCCGUGGAAAUGAUAGAUUACACUGCGAUAAAUCUCCGAAUUGCUCAUUGUCCACCAUCCCCAACUCAAACUCAAAUAGAGAGAGGCACCACAUGGGUUAGAAAUUUAAUAUUAGCGUUCAACUGAACUUCUAGAAUCCCCUAAAAAAAUCCUAUUUUGCUAAAGAUACCCGAAACAGUGUUACAAAGCAAUCCAAAACCCAAUCAAAUUAAAAUCCCUAAUAUCAAAUUUAAGAAUCCCAAUUAAACAAAAAAUAACCUAAUUAAUUAGAUAUCCCUGCGAGUACUAUUCUCUCUGUCCCAAUCAACCAAGUUCUCCAUUUCAAACUUCCCAUCAAAUAUUUGACAGCAAUACAACCAAUAACAAAAAUAAAAAUUUAAACCAAUCCAAACACUAAAACCCUUUUAAUUUUCCAUGUGCAUUCAAUGAUUUGGUUCCUAUAAAAAUAGGAAAUAUGGAAUAAUUAUUUGGAGAUAGAAUCACAUAUAGAGCUAGCAGAGGAAGCAAGGAAGAUAUGCAAAAGCAAAUUACGAGAUCAUCAUAUUACAAAAGCUACAUAAGCAAAUUAAGAGAUCCUCAUAUUUGGAGACAGACACAAAUAUAAAGCUGCAAAAACAAAUUAUUAUUGCCGACAAAAUACUUACUGAAAAAAAAAAAUCCCGUUUUUGAGUAAUAUAACCCAAACUCAUCUUAUACAGCAAAGGAGCAUAGGACUGAGAAAUCAGAGCCUAAUUUCCAGUAUCAGAAGAGUAUGAAUUAUUCAACUUAACCGCUAAUUUCGUUAACGAAGAUUAAAAUAGGCUCGAAAUCCAUACAAUUUAUACGUUACCAUUUAUUCAAGUUCUAGUAAGGUGUGUGACGACGAUGAGAAGGCGAGAUGUGCAACUGAGAUCAAAUAUACCUGCCAUCAACCAAAACCCAAUGCAAGCAAAACCCAUAAGAAAAACCUAUCAACUAAAACCCAGCGCAAGGUAAAUCAUCAACCAUAACUAAUAAUUUAUCAAUUGCAGUAAUUAGGUCAAACCCACAUUGACAUUUCACCCACAAAAGUUAAAAAAGAAAAGUUACCUUGCACUAGGCGGCCUCCCGGGCACUUCAUUGGUUGGUGGAAAUACCAACGGAGAUGAGAAGUCGGGGUGAACGACGGAGAUCGCAAAGUAGGGGAUUGAAGAGUUCACAAAGCAGGGAUUGAAGAGAUAAUGAAACAGAUAUGGAAGAGAUGGUCAAUCGCGUGUAAAGGUAGCCGUUGGAUAAAAUUUGAACGGCCCGAUGGGCCUAAUCAGGAGGAUCCUGAUCCCAAGCCACCAACAUUUUGUUUGAAUAAGAAAAUUAAUUUUAUAUUUCGGUUUAUUUUUGUUGCAAUUUUUUAUUUUUUAAUUUGAGGGCAUAAUGGGAAGUUUAGAGAAAAUAGUUUUGAUGUUGGGUGUGGAAAGAUGAUUCUGAGCAGACCUGCUCGCUGAUCAAUAGAUGGAAGGAAGCACGCUAGAUGACUGCUGAAAGAAACCUUUUCACGUACAGUAGUGGUAAUCCAGCUCAAUGUGGUGAAUUUGGGCAUGUUAAACGGGGUUCUAAGCCAUGUACGUCGUGUUGUAAAUUGUACAACAUCGCCGAGAUCAUAUAGAGGGUAAAAGAGCUAAGACAUCUCUGCACAGGCAUGAACCAACGAGGGAUACUCUGACUUUGCGCUCACUUUGGAAACUGUAGUUUGCUUCUAAGAUCACCCAAGAUAUCAAGUUGGUUCUUCAUUCCCUUGUUUUCCUCACUAAGAUUACUAGAGAAGAAUAGGGACUGUUAUUGGUUCUAAUGAAACCAUAUUGCAAUAAUUCCUUCACAUAUUUAUCAAUUUCUGAUUUCUGUACUGGACCAUACCUAUAUGGUCUACUGUUAGGUGGUUUGCUGCCUUCCAAUAAUGGAAUUUAAUGAUGUUGAGAUCUAUGAGGAGGUAGUGUAGUAGGAGUGAUGAAAACCAUUUCAUAAUCUUCCAGUAGUUGCUUCAAUUGUUGUUGUUGAUCUUUAGAAAGGUGGUCUCCUUGUUGAUCGAUUGUUGUAAGUUCUAUAUGUUGAAUAGACACAUCCGCUGACUCGAUAUGACACAAAAUAGCUCCCAUAGUUGUUUCUUGCUGCACAAGUCUGGACAUUUGCAAGGCUGAGAUAUCCUCUAAUUGCUCCAAAGGUGACUCUGAACUAGCAAUGUAGUAUGUUGAAGACCCUUUUUGGAACUUCAUAUAUAGCUUAUCAAAAUCCCACAAGAUUGGUCCUAAGGUUCUGAGUCAUUGUACUUCGAGCACUACAUCACAUCCUACCAUUGAAAUUGCUUAUAAAUCUGUUACACACUCAUAAUCUUGAAUCUUGACAGGUACUUGAGCCAAUGUGCCUUGAGUAGACACUUUACCCUCAUCAUUUAUUUUGACAUUCAAAGUAUGCCCUGUAUCCAAGUUUCCAUUCAAUCUUUUAACCAACCCAAAAUCCACAAAGUUAUGGGAACUGCUUGAAUCAACCAAGAUAGUUACAGGACAUUGUUUAAUAAAACCAGCAACUCUCAUUGUUUUGAUAGAUGGUGGUACAGGGUACCAAACAAAGCACAAGCUGUAAUCUCCAAUUCUUCAUUUUCUAACACUGCAGGAUCACCAUUUUCAUCUUCUUGCACAUCAAUCAACAGAAAAUUGCUUCUUUUCAUAACUAGGACCUCUAUAGCUUCUUUUCACAUCAAUUGAUUCUUUCUUGAAACUGGGGAUCAUCAAGCAUAGCUUCAAAAGUGUCACCCAUAGAACCUUAAAGUGUGCCAUGAGUGAUUGAAAUUGAUGAAGAAUCAAAUCCUGGGUUGAUCUAAGUUCAUCUGCGAAGUCUUGAAAUCGACUUUGCCCCAAAGUGGAAACUCUUGAUUCCAUGUUAUUCCGUGAAGCUUGCCGCAUCAUACAAUAGGGAAGGAUUGAGAGAAUCAAAACUGGCUGAUACCAAUAUUAGAACCUUACUCCACUUCUUCCUUGAUUGCACAGAGAGAAUACUAACAAUUGCUCAUAUAUUUCAUAAUCGUCUUGCCAUCUCUUACAAACCACCAUUUAACAACCAAACUCCUAAUUCCAAGUACACUUGUCACUAUCUUAUUGUGCCAUCUGGUAUGGUAUCCUAACAGAGAGCAAAAGGUAGACCAGCGAAAGUCUAGGCAGGCAGCCCGAUCUCCGUCAGAGUAUGCAAGAGGCUCGUAGGGAAGGGUUGAGCAGCGAUAAGGAUUCCCAAAAAUGAACUUUCGAGUGUGCUUAUUGUGACAUGCAAUGAGAUAGAGAGUGAGAAAUUAGGGUUUGUUGGCAAAAGUUUGGCCGCGAUGACUCCCUGCGUCCUUGGACCUUGGUGGCGGCGCCGCAGAUUACAAAUAGCAUGUAAGAGAAAGUAAACAACAAAGAAAAAACAGAGAGAAUAGAGAAAAAAAUUGGGUGUUGAAUCGGCUCGGCUAAGUUUCGUAUUUUGUUUUAUUAAGUUGACUAAAAUUUGCAAAGAUUGUUUCUUUUAGAAUUCUAGUUUUCUAGAAAUUGGGUUCAACGAUUGGGAUUUUGGUUUUUUGGAGAAAGGAUGAUUUGUGGUCUCCUCCUUGAUUCAAAUUGCAGAUCUCGUUGUGAGAGUUCAUUUUUAAUUCCGGUUUGUUGGUCCAAUAAUUUGGGAUCUCACAAGUUCUUAGUUUUUUUUUUUUCCCAAUAUUGCACAUCUCAUCAUACGAUCUCAGAAUUUUCUGCACUCAGGACUGUCGAAUGACGAUUUGGUUAGAAUAAAUAUACAUUAUAUGUACACGACAUGCACCCAAAAACCUGGAGCUCAAAGCUCUCUCUCUCGACAUCCCUAUCUUCGAAAUCAGAAAAAUACGUCAUCAGCGGUGAAUUUUUACAAUUUAUAUGUGAGUAUUUUCGUCAUUUUACUUUUGUACAUGAUAUGCAUGGCUUGUGCACUGCCGAUUAGUCCGAUUUUUAUUCAAAGAUUACAAAAUAAGUCAUUUAUGUCCAUUUCGCUACAAAUAUUAGGUGGCGGACAUUAAGUGAAAAAUUUGGGGGAAAAAGUUGGCAGAAAAUAAUUAGGUGAUAAAAUCUUGCGAAAAUUAGAUGACAAAAACGAGAAGCAACAAUGUGGUAGAACAACGGCACGCGAAGCCUCGAGCCCAACGGCACUCGAAGCCUCGGGCCCAAUGAACCUACGCUGAUUGGGGUACUAUUGUACUACUUUUGUAUUUAUCUAACCAUGGUUCGGUUACUAUAUUAUACUACUUUGUAUUUAUUUAAUCAUACACUAGAAUAAUUCACUGAAAUUAAAAUUUUGGAUGAUAAAAUGAAGGUUGAGGUUGAGAAGGGAAAGUGAUAAAGGGAAGCUGCAGACCACACCUGCUUUGUAGGAAGCAACACCACACACUCCUUUUUCAUUUGUUUUCUUCUUACUAGCCUUCAUGCACGCGCAUGAGCAUGUGAAGAAGACAUUUUUUUUUUAAAUUACGGCGUGUUACGCAUGACUUACACGUUUUAAAUAUAUUUAUAUGCGUAAAUUGACAAAAGAAAAGUCAAAUAUUUGAAAUAAAUGAAUAAUUUAGAUUAUGCUAGAAGAAAUCCCUCAUAAACCAAUUAAAGCAGUUGAAUUCACAUAAUAAAAUUGAUCCCUAUAGAAUUUGCAUUAAGAAUAGAGAAAAUAAUAUUUAAUGAACAAUUGAUUGAAUUACAUUAUUGCUAGUCCAUUGUGAGGCUAAGCCCACCCCCACCCCCUUAGUGUAGAUGAUAUUGUUAAAAAAAACAAUCAUUUGACAACUAAUUUAAUCACAUUAUUAUCCGUGUGCGAAAGACAUUUUUUAUAACCAGUAUAACAUGCCUCUUAAGAAGUUUUGAACGUGUUUAAAAAUAGAGAAAAUAAUAUUUAAUAAACAACUGAUUGAAUCACAUUAUUGCUAGCCUAUUACUAAUUUAAUGUAAUUUAAUCACAUUAUUAUCCGUGUGCGAAAUACCUUUUUUUAUAACCAGCAUUACACACCUCUUAAGAUGUUUUAAACGUGUUUAAAAAUAGAGAAAAUAAUAUUUAAUAAACAACUGAUUGAAUUACAUUAUUGCUAGCCCAUUGUGAGACUAAGCUCACCCCUCCCCCUGAGUGUAGAUAAUAUCGUUUGUUAAAAAAAAAAAAGAAUAAUCAUUUGACAACUAAUUUAAUUACAUUAUUAUCUGCGUGCGAAAAACUUUUUUUAUAACCGGCAUUACACGCUUCUUAAGAUGUUUUGAACAUGCUUAAAAUAGAGAAAAUAAUAUUUAAUAAACAACUGAUUGAAUCACAUUAUUGCUAGCCUAUUAUGAGGCUAAGCCCACCCCCUCCCCCUUAGUGUAGAUAAUAUCGUUUGUUAGAAAAAAGCAAUCAUUUGAUAACUAAUUUAAUUACAUAAUUAUUCGCAUGUAAAUGACUUUUUUUAUAACCGGCAUUAUACAUCUCUUAAGAUAUUUUGAACAUGUUUAAAAAUAGAGAAAUUGAAUCACAUUAUUGCUAAUCUAUUGUGAUGUACUAAUUAAAAAAAACCACAAAAAGAUUAAUUAUUAAAAAAAUACUGUUAAAAUGAUGAAAAUGCCCUUGCCUUAUUUGAUGCAUUAUUUUAGGAUGCCUUUAGAGUUUUUUUUGUCUUGGUGGCAAUUUUGUCUAAAUAUUUUUGUUGAAGUUUGGUAACACCAAAAUCACUAUUAACCUUUAUAUAUAGAUACUUUGAAGGGAAGUAAGAUGAUCACGUUAUGCACAUAUAAUAUAAUAGCUUGGGUUUGGAAUACAACUUGCCAACCGUUCUUCCUCUCGCAAGAAGGAAAAGCCAUGGCAGUCCUUGAGCUCCUCUCCCUCUUCUCUAUUCUCUUCAUCAUCUCUCUUCUUCUGCGACCCUCUUUGCCUCCAAAUCCCAAACCCUACUCCCUCCAAGCCCCGUUGCCCUACCCAUCCUCGGCCACUUCCACCUCCUAAGCCCUCUCAUCCACCAAACUUUCUACAAACUCUCCCUCCGGUUUGGUCCUUUAUUCUCUCUUCGCCUUGGCUCCGUCCCAUGCGUCGUCAUUUCGUCACCAGACCUCGCGAAAGAUUUCCUCAAGACCCACGAGCACUCUUUCACAUCCCGUUCUCAGUCCAUUGCGAUUGAGCCCCUCAGCUACAACUCCUCCUUUUCAUUUGGACCCUAUGGACCUUAUCAUAAAUUCAUCAAGAAGCUCAGCACGAAUGAGUUUCUAAGCAGCCGUAGCGUCAGCAACUUUGCUUCAAUUCGAACCCAAGAGUACCUUAGGUUUUUGAGGUUGUUGGCCAAGAAAGCUGAGAGCGGUGAAGCUGUUAAUCUAACCGAGGAGUUACCAAAGCUUUCCAACAAUGUGAUCGCAAAAAUGAUGUUGGGGAAUUCUAAGGGGUCUAGUGCUGAAGGCAGAGACGAGGAGGCUAGGCUUGUGGUGAGAGAGGUAACCAGGAUUAUUGGGGAGUUUAACUGUCAGAUUUUGUUUGGUUUUGCAAGAAGUUGGAUUUUCAGGGAUUUGGGAAGAGAAUUGAAGACAUUCGUAGGAGAUUCGACGCGUUGGUGGAGAAGGUUAUUUCAGAACGUGAACAACUGAGAAAGAAAAACAUGAAAAAUGGAGGAGGUAGUGGUGGCGAGGAGGUGAAGGAUUUUCUUGACAUUUUGCUUGAUAUACUGGAAAAAGGGAGUGCUGAGAGUGAGGAGGUGGAAUCUAAAAGAGUGCACAUCAAGGUUUUAAUCAUUGUACGUAAAAAUUCUUUUUCGUAUGACUUUCAGUUUGUACCGGAUCUUGAACGCCUGGCAAUGAUGGAUUCAAACUCUCUCUCUCUAUAUAUAUGUCUUCCCCUUUUCUAUCAUGCAUCCGUACCGGUUCUUAUCAAGAACAAUUGCACAGAGACGAGGCCUCGUCAUUUUGCUCACAAGGUCUCCUUCCUCCGGCUGCUCUCCGAUGACUGUGUCGUUGAAAUCAAGGAAGUUGGCACGAAAUGUUCAAGUCCGGAAUAGUGGGUAGGAGGAAUCUGAUGCACAAUUGCAAUUUUACUCGGGCAAUUGGAUAUUUCUUGGUGUCAUUGAGUGUUCUUUGGUCUCUUUGCCAACAAAAAUGGUUUUAUCACAUUUUAAUUUCUAGGCGUUAAGAAUUCUCUUUUAUUACUUUUUAAUUUUUAGAAUAUUGUUUUGUUUAGGUCUUCAAGGUCAUUUUGCAUGAAGUUAAUUUUGUCAAUAUAAAAAUUUUUCAUAUUAAAGUGGGUGAGGAAAUAAGAGAAUGGGACGUACGUAGACAUAACACCAAAGCUUAAUUUUUUUCAUAACGCCUUAGUGCCUUUUCCUAUUAUUUAGAGCUAUAUAUAACAGAUUGGUUACUUAACAUUAAAGGGCUUUUAUGAGAAUAAUGAAAUUGGAUUUUUCAGGAAUUCUUCACGGCAGGUACAGAUACAACCGCCAUUUCAAUGGAGUGGGCACUAGCAGAUCUCAUCAACCACCCGAAGGAGCUGGAGAAAGCAAGGGAGGAGAUUGAUCGAGUCGCUGGGAAAAGACGGCUAGUCGUAGAAUCAGACGGUCCAAACCUUCCAUACAUACAAGCCAUUAUAAAAGAAACACUGAGACUGCACCCCUCUGUCCCUAUGAUCCCAAGAAAGAGUGUACAAAAGUGUAACAUUGGGAACUAUGUGAUACCGGAAAACACAAUGCUAUUUGUGAAUGCUUGGGCCAUCGGAAGGGACCCAAAGUAUUGGGAAAAUCCUUUGCACUUUUACCCUGAAAGAUUCUUAGCACCACUCAGUGGUGGAGGAGAUGGAGCGCGUGCAUUAGAUCUUAGGGGGCAACAUUUUCAGCUGCUUCCGUUUGGGACUGGGAGGAGGAUAUGCCCUGGUAUAAACCUAGCCCUGCAAAUGCUGCCAGCUCUACUUGGUGCAAUGGUUCAAUGCUUUGAUUGGAAAGUUGUUGGGGUAAAUCAGAAGCAUAUGAACGGUGAUGAUCGUGUUCUGGAAAUGGAUGAACGGCCAGGAAUGGCAACUCCACGAGCCCAUGAUUUGAUUUGUAUUCCAGUGGUACGUUUUGAAGACUUUGAUCCAAAUGAAGUUUGAGGACUUGAAGUGGGUGUCAAACUUACAUGGAAAUGGAUAAAUAACACUACGUUAUUUCUAUUCCUAUUUAAGUUUUCUUUUUUGAAGUAGUUUUAUGAUUAAGGCUUACUUAAGCCUCAUGUACAUUACAUGAAGUCUCACUUUAUUUCUACAGUUUGUCAUGUCCCACUUUGUUUCCUGCACUUAUCCAUUGUGUUUCACUUUACUCCGUUUCUUUAAUUGGGUUAAAGAGACGUUAGUUUCGUUGAUUUGACAAAGGCUCUUUGAUUUUUUUUCAGUCAAUUUUUACAUUUGGAACAUCUUAAACCACAAAAAUUACCCUAUGUGAUUCUCAAAUUUCCUUCUUAGCAACCCUAAACAAUAUUAUCCCUAAAACUCACAAUUUCUUCAAUCUAUCACUAUAUUCACAGUUGAAAAGAUCGAAGGACCCCUACCAUAUUAAUGAAAUUGAUGCUCAACCCAAUCGACGGAAUGGGGCACCGUGUGACACGAAAAAUAAUUACAAAGGAUAAAGUGAGACAGAAUCAAAUGUAUGUUGUGAAGCGAAAUUUUGUCUAGAGUAUAUAGGGGUACCAAAAAAUAAGCUUUAAUAGUAAAAUUAGUUAUGUAAUAAGGGUAUACAAGGAAAAAUCACAUAGGGUGACAUGUUACAAUGAGAGAGCUAUAGCUAAAGGAUAUUGUUUGGCUCCGUAUAAUUACAUGUAUCAUACUCGAAAUCAUUCAUUCUUUUAAUAAUUAUCUGAAGAUAAUCUAAAAAGACAAUUAUUUUGGUUUGAAGUCCAUUUAGUCAUAUAUAUAUAUAUAUAACCACAACUUUUUAAUAAUUUUUUAUUCAUGUAUAUUUUUUAGACUAUAUUUUGUAGACCAUAAUUUUAGAUCAGCGGGUUUUGGAACCUUUGUCCACAACAUGCAUGAAUAAUUUGCACAAAGAUGCACUACAAAGAUGGUACGAACGGAGUCACACCCUAAAAUGUACCAAUGCAAAUAACACACAUUUCACCAUAGUAAAUCCAACAAAAUCACAAAUCAAUACAUGCAUCUCUAAAGAAUUUAAAUGACCGAGAGAUAAGGGAACCGAGCUAAUAAAUAUUUAAAUAACGAAGAGAUGGGUGAACCACGGGAAGAAAAGUAUGCUACCUUUUACUAUAAUUGGAACAAAUUUAAAAAUAUCUCACCAUCACACUGCCCAGAACUACGACUCUUAAGGAGAAGCUGAGAAUUAAAGAGGUAUUCUCCAGAUGAUUCUCAGAACAUCCUUUUACAAUUUUUCACCCAAUAUCUCCUAUGUAUGAUUAUAGGCCAAUAACGAAAGGAAAUACAGGCUAAAACACUCUUUAAAUUGUUCCAACAAUAGGGUAAUAGGAUUCACUAAAUCAUUAGAGAUUGCAACAAUGAGAGAGUAUAUAAGCUCACCAAUGUUCCCCUCUACACGUAGAACAAAAUAUCUGCAAAACAAAUAACAAUCAGUCAUUGUAGAUACAAAUCAAAAUCUACACGUAAAACUUAAUGUAAAGGAAUCUUAUUGAGAGUGAUGUAGGCGCAUGACGUUUUAACAUGAGGAAUCCAAUAAAGAUACGCUCCAGUUUAGUGAGAAUUAGGAUAAACCUGCAGCUAUCAGUUACAGGUUUCCAGUAGAUGAGGGUGCGCGAGCAUAUAGUUCACCUGCAAGGAUACAACAGACCAUCCUUCAAUCUCACUGACAACAAACGUACCCUUUCCCCUCUCUGUCUAUCUGAAUUCCUUUCAAAUGAUAGACAAAUACAACCACCAUACAUGAAAUCACAUUUUCACUUCUCCCAAGCACUAAAGCUGAAAAACAAAGUAGACUUCCAAAAUCAAAAUAGUUGAUUUUACCAAACGAACAAAAACAGAAAUGAAAACAAAGGGAAUAACUUCAAUCAUAAAUGGACUUAAAGAACUCAAUUCAGUGUAUUCAUUAAUCUUCUAUCCUUUUUUCCCUCGAUUUUCUCGGAAACCAAACAGAAAAUGAGAAAUGAGUUAAACGCUAUUCAAAAGGGAGAAAAGUGCGAAUUCCCUAUCACUCAAUUUCUCAUAUCAAACAAACAAAAUUAAUCCAGACCCAAAACAACAUUAAACGUCAAUGUUUAAACUUUACUGCCUUUUAGCUCUCUGAAUUGACUCUCAAACCAAACACAGAAACUAAACCCAGUAAAAGAAUUAUCCAUUUUUUAAAAUCACUUGUCAAUUCAACAUGAAAAAAAAAAAAGGGAACAGAAACAGUCCUAAUUACUCCACGACACUGCGCUUUUUUUGGUCUAGUAAUGCUGCAUACAUGUAAAACUUAAAGCUCAAAAGUAGACAUCCAAGAAAAUUAAAUCCUUCUGCAAGGGAUACAACUAUUAACAAAGAUUUGGGAAAUUUCAAUUUUCUGAAUGAAGCAUCUUUUCUGAAUGACAAACUCAGAUCUUGGAAAUAAACAAUAAUAUUACUAUAGGCAAAGAAAAAAGAAGAAAAAUGAAAGCCGGUAUUAUAGGUGGUCCGUGGAAAUGACAAAUUGCACUGCUAUAAAUCUCCGAAUUGCUCAUUGUCCACCAUCCCCAACUCAAACUCAAAUAGAGAGAGGCACCACAUGGGUUAGAAAUUUAAUAUUAGCGUUCAACUGAACUUCUAGAAUCCCCCAAAAAAAAAAAUCCUAUUUUGCUAAAGAUACCCGAAACAGUGUUACAAAGCAAUCCAAAACCCAAUCAAAUUAAAAUCCCUAAUAUCAAAUUUAAGAAUCCCAAUUAAACAAAAACUGACCUAAUUAAUUGGAUAUCCUCGAUAGUACUAUUCUCUUUGUUCCAAUCAACCAAGUUCUCCAUUUCAAACUUCCCAUCAAAUAUUUGACAGCAAUACAACCAAUAACAAUAAAAAAUUUAAACCAAUCCAAACACUAAAACCCUUUUAAUUUUCCAUGUGUAUUCAAUGAUUUGGUUCCUAUAAAAAUAGGAAAUAUGAAAUAAUUAUUUGGAGAUAGAAUCACAUACAGAGCUAGCAGAGGAAGCAAGGAAGAUAUGCAAAAGCAAAUUACGAGCUCAUCAUAUUACAAAAGCUACAUAAGCAAAUUAAGAGAUCCUCAUAUUUGGAGACAAACACACAUAUAAAGCUGCAAAAACAAAUUAUUAUUGCCGACAAAAUACUUACUGAAAAAAAAAAAUCUCGUUUCUGAGUAAUAUAACCCAAACUCAUCUUAUACAGCAAUGAAGCAUAGGACUGAGAAAUUAGAGCCUAAUUUCCAGUAUCAGAAGAGUAUGAAUUAUUCAACUUAACCGCUAAUUUCGUUAACGAAGAAUAAAAUAGGCGCGAAAUCCAUACAAUUUAUACGUUACCAUUUAUUCAAGUUCUGGUAAGGUGUGCGACGGCGAUGAGAAGGCAAGAUGUGCAACGGAGAUCAAAUAUACAUGCCAACAACCAAAACCAAAUGCAAGCAAAACCCAUAAGAAAAACCCAUCAAUUAAAACCUAGCGCAAGGUAAAUCAUCAACCAAAACUAAUAAUUUAUCAAUUGCAGUAAUUAGGUUAAGCCCACAUUGACAUUUUACCCAGAAAAGUUACCUUACACUGGGCGGCCUCCCGGGCAUUUCAUGUUCAAACUCCGGGCACUUCAUUGGUUGGUGGAAAUACCAACGGAGAUGAUAAGGAGGGGUGAACGACGGAGAUCGCAAAGCAAGGAUUGAAGAGGUAACGAAACAGAGAUGGUCAAUCGCGUUGCACCUCAACCUACACCUCUCUCUCUAUAGCCUUCCCCUCAACCUCACCACCCUGGACAACCAUACCUCCCCCCUCUCUCUCUGUAGCAAACUCGCGUCCCUAUCCCAGAACCUUACCCCAAAUCGAUCACGACCGCACCCACCCUCUCACCUUCUCUCCCUGUAAUCCCGCACCCAAACGGCACUCUGUCCACCUGGAACCCCUCCCAUCAACCCUUUCUCUACCUGCAACUAGGCCUGGCAAACGGGUCGUGUUUGUCGUGUUCGUAUCGUUUUCGUGUAACACUUGUUAUUUUAACGGGUCGUAUCGUGUCACACCCGUUAUUACCCGUUAAGAAAAAUAUAAUUUUUUUCUUAAAUUUGCACAUACCACACAUUGCCACAUAAAUAUUAUUUCAAAACAUUAAAACACAUUUUUCGUUUAAGUACUACAUCUACACUCGAAAAUAAGAGCCUAAUAAACAAACAUCCAUACACUACUAGUCUAUUACAAAAUAUUAAAUGUGCAAGGAUAUGCAAAAUGAAAGAGUUUUUGUUUUCAAGGUUGUGAAGCCUUUCUUAAAAGUUUAAAUCUUACCAAUGGAACUCAAAGCUUUCAUUUUAUUCCCUUUACAAAAUCCUCAAUUUUCAUCGAUCAUCAAGACAUAAAAUUUUGUGGUAUCCACUUCUGUAAAUAUUUUAAACUGACGAUUAAAUUAGUUCAUUGAAUUCAUAUAUGACCAAGGAGUGUAGUUGUAAAAAAUCAUCAAAAUCGGAGUUAAAAUAACCGUUAAAUUGUGAUUUUUCGUUUAUAACCGUCGAAAAGUUUUGUCCCGUUACUUGAUCUCUUAAUGUUUGUUUUUUGCAAUUUUUGGCAUAUACGAUCUUGAAGUAUAUACAAACAUGUUUGACGGGUUGGAUUGCUGAAACUAGUUUCGUAGAAUGCGUAUCCCAUCAAAACAAUAGAUUCACUAACACUUAAGAGUUUAUUCAUACUUUCAUUAAGUAUAACAUAAGAUUUUGUGGUAUCCACUAGUGUAAAUAUUUUAAAUUGAAGAUCGAGUUCAUUCACUGUAUUCAUAUAGGGUCAAGGAGUGUAGUUGUAAAAAAUCAUCAAAAUCGGAGUUAAAAUAACCGUUAAAUCGUGAUUUUUUGUUGAUAACUGUCGAAAAGUUUUGUCCCGGUACUUGAUCUCUGAAUGUUUGUUUUUUGCAAUUUUUGGCGUAUGCCAUCUUGAAGCAUAUACAAACAAGUUUGAUGAUUGGAUCGUUGAAAUUAGUUUUGUAGAAUGCGUAUCCCAUCAAAAUGAUGGAUUCACUAACACUUAAGAGUUUAUUUAUACUUUCAUUAAGUAUAACAUAAUAUUUUGUGGUAUCCACUAGUGUAAAUAUUUUAAAUUGAAGAUCAAGUUCAUUCAUUGUAUUCAUAUAGGGUCAAGGAGUGUAGCAGUAAAAAAUCAUCAAAAUUGAAGUUCAAAUAACCGUUAAAUCGUGAUUUUUUGUUGAUAACCGUCGAAAAGUUACUUGAUCUCUUAAUGUUUGUUUUUUACGAUUUUUGGUGUAUGGGAUCUUGAAGCAUAUACAAACAAGUUUGGUGGUUGGAUCAUUCAAAUUAGUUUCGUAGAAUGCGUAUGUAAACAUCGAAAUUUCGGUAAAUAAAUGUUGACCGAUAUAUCAAAGUUUCAACACUCAUGUAUUACAUGAAUUUUACACGUAGCGUGUGUCUAAACAAAAAAUCGAAAUAAGUUGGAAAAGUCAUCAAACAGGACACGUGUCAACACCUGGCAUAAAUGACUUAUUUCAUCUGGAAUGUUAUAUUCAAAAUUAGGCCUUGGAAAAUUCUAUAAAUAGAAGCCAAUUUCAUUCAUUUCAUGGGACCAAUUCCUAUUACACCAAAACCUUGAAGCUCUGAAGCUCUGAAACUCUGAAGCUCUCAAGCAUCCAAGUUCCCGAAUAAUCAAGAAAGCCUUCUUCGUUCUUCGUUCAUCGUUCUUCCAAGAUCAAGCCCCGACGGCCCUUGGAUCAACAAUCAUCCACCUUCAAGAUCAAGCCCCGACGGCCCCUUUGAAGAACUUCCACCAAUUCAAGAUCAAGCCCCGACGGCCUUUGAAGAAAGUGUUCAUCAUUCAUCAUCCGUUCAUCUUAAGAUCAAGCCCCAACGACCCUUUGGAUCAACAACGUCGACAAAUCCACACAUCCAACCGUCCUUUAAGAUCAAAGCCCAAAAGCCCUUGAAGUUCCGUUCAUCACCGUUAUUCAAGAUCAAGCCUUAACUGCCCUUGAAGAAACGCUCAUCCUCAAGAUCAAGCCCCAACGGCUCCUUGAAGAUCCGCUCAAAUCCACCUUCAAGAUCAAGCCCACGGCCUUUGAAGAACGUUCAUCCUUAGAUCAAGCCCAACGGCCCUUUGGAUCAAUCAUACAUCCACAAAUCAACACCUUACGGAGAUCGAAUCAGAGGAUCAAAUUUGAGAAAGAUUGUAACCCAAAAUCAUCAAAUACAAAUAUUAUUUUGUGCACGUUGUUCUUGUCUCUUUCCUUUCAGGAAAUUUUCGUGUUCACAAAUUUGGCACGCCUGGUGAGAUUAUCUUUACCUCUCAUCUCUUUCUCCGUUCAAGAAAUUUAAGCACACUUCCAAAAUCAAUGGCAUCAAAGAAGGCUCAAGCUGUUCCCAUAACCGGCACAAAGAACAAGAGCGUCAUCGUCAAGUGGUGUCACUUUGGGCAUCACGACUCGAAGCAAGGCAAGAGCUACUUCCGCCGCCUCUUUCACCUUUGCAUCAACUCUGCCAAGGGAACAAGAGCACCCAAGGCACGAGCUGUGAUCACCUUAGCCUUACUAAGGGCACCAAGGAGGAAAGCCCAAGGAAAUACUCCGAAUCCAUGCUCUCUAAUGCCGAUUCAAGCGACAGUUCAGCCAUCCAAGUCAUGACCACUGGAGCAACUUCAAUCGAUGAGCAGCAGGCUCAAAUGAAUGAAGCAAUUGCAAGGCUAACCCGAACUGUGGAAGAAAAAGACUUGCAAAUUGCAGCACUAGUCAACCGACUGGAAGCACAUGACGGCGAGAAACCCGACCCAGAGGAUGAUCCACUAAAGAGAGGAGCUGGCGGAGAAGAGGAGCCUCCAGUGAAGAAAAUCGAUGUGAAUCCGGAGCCAGACCAAGCAAUGGCACUCAUGGGAUCUCUUUCUAUCCAGCAGCUGCAAAAGAUGAUCACCAACACCAUCAAGGCACAGUACGAAGGGAGCUCUCAUGCCUCCACGUUGUACUCAAAGCCUUACUCCAGGAAGAUCGACGCCUUAAAAAUGUCGAGGGGCUAUCAACCAUCGAAGUUUAUCAAACCCGCACCAAGAUACAUAGUCAUAAUAAUUUACUUCGAAUUCGAUUUUGAAUAGAAUCGAACAUAAGACCUCUCACUUACAACUAAAUAGGAAUACUAAAAGACCGUAGUGCUAAGUGACACAAACAAGUAAACACUUAAAAUGCCGAUAUGGCAUGAAAAUUAAUAAAUGGCCUAAGACGCUCAUAUAUGUCAAGGCUUUGCAUUAUUGGAUCGAAACGCUAUGUGCCUACGUAAGUUGAUCGCUCGCUCAAAUUUGACUCGAUUAUUAAUCUCUUCAAAGCGAGACAUAUUGUGGACCCGAAGACACACUCCAUUAUUUGGUACAACCUCAACCUUACCACACAAUCCUGUGCUAUUUAAUAAGUUGCUCGUUUAACUUGGAAAAUAUUUUAUUUAAUUAAGAUUUGAUUUGAUUUGACUUUAGCUUUUCUUGUCUCGUGGAUAAAUGUUUGAUUUUAUUUAUUUUGUAAUAUUGCUUCUUUGUAAUUUUAUUAAAAUCUCGUUAUUGAGAAAAUAAAGUAUUGAAGUUGCAUUUAAGUUUGUAAGAUUAAUCAAGGAUUCCGAAGCAUUUAAGUUUGUGAGAUUAAUCGAGGAUUCUGAAAUUUACACUAAGCCCUUUAUUUUCAACUUCACUCAUUUCGUCGAUCUCUUCAAAAUUAGACAACAUAUUGUGGAACCAACUAAAAACAUACUCCGUCAUUCAGUACAACAUCAACUGUACCACACAAUCAAUUACAACAAACCCUAGACCCAGCAUCUCGGUGAACGUCCUCACAGAGACAGUACCCCUUUAUAUAUCCUUACCUUCUGUCUAUAAUGUCAAAAGCAACUGUAUAUUCCUUUCACUCUGAUCUAAUCUAAGAGCGGCGCAGCAGAUCACUAAGUUGAAUAAUUACUUAAAAUUAGUAUUUAGUUGCAAAAUCGGUUAUUCAAUACAAAGUCCACUGAUAAAAACUUAAAAAACUCUUUUUUUUUCUUUUUUUUUUUAUAAGAAACUACGAUUUCAUGAUUUAGAUUGAAUAUGUACAACAUUAAAAAUCUUGCCGGGAUUUCAACCCGGUCGAAGGAAAAUGAGCGUUCCGCAUCAAUACAACUUACAAUUAAUUUAUAUUCUCAACGAAAAGGUCUAAGAUUACAUAGAGAGGUUCCUCAAACCAAGUCACCAGAGAGUGUUGGGUUAAACCAACCUAGCCAAGCGAUGCACCACCUUGUCGAGGUCCGUCGUCCGUAAGACCUUAUUCAAGAUCUGUCUUGUAUCAUCAAGAAUAUGUCCGACUGGGGAAGAGUCCUUCCAACCUUGUGAGAUAGAGCACUAAUGACCAAAAGAACAUCACCUUCAAGUUCCAGCAGUGGGAACCUCUGCUGCUGUGCACUUAAAAAAACUCUUAACAGCCUUAAUUAAUCUGGACUCUAACAACCUUAAACUAAAUCCGAGAUGUCAUUCUUAUUGAUUUUUUGUUUGUUUGUUUGUUUUGUAUAUGUAUUGAUGAGAAACGGAAUUUCAUGAGAAAAAUAACAAAAAAUGACCAUAGCUCCCCAAUAAUCGAAAAUAAUAUACAGGUGAUGCCUGAGUUUUGGCUGCACUGCACCGGCAAAUCUGUGUGGAAACGAGAAUCCAUAGCAAAUCCUCUGGACAAGGAGCUUUCCUUGACAAUUCACGUGACUAUUUACUUACGUUUAGGAUUAGGUCAUCUCUAUGAAUGGAGGAAUAAAGCAACGUUGCUCGUACUAUGUGUUAGCAUUUCAAAACGUUUUUUCAAUGUAUGCAUACCUUGGGUUAUAAUAUUAUUUUUUUGUCAACGCCUGGGGUUAUAAUAUAUUUUGGUUUAGUUUUGGUUAUGCCUCCUGUUUUUUUUUUUUUUGACACUUAUGCCUCGUGUUGGUUAUUUUAAUUAUUUUAUUUUAUUUUAUGAUAAAGAUUCAAACUUAUUACUUUACUUCUAUUAAUAUCUAAAAAGUUGUGUUUCAUUUGAAUAGUCAUGAUCCUUUUUUAACGGCUUGACAAUAAAAAAACAAAAAAAAAAACUCCUUUUUGAACGGGUAUGGAGAGUUCUUUAAAUAAGAAAUCUCAAUUUUCAAAUCUUACAAUCUUGUUGGUAAUACCUGCACGCAAGCAUAUUGUAGAGAGACGUCUACGGCUUUAGGCCAACGACAUCACGCUUCUCUUUGGUUUACAAACAAGAUUUUCCAAUUCUAUUAUUCUCAUUUAAUUUUCAUAUAUCUGAUAGUGUUAUAUAUUCAAUUUUUUAUAUUUGAAUAUAUAUAUAUAUAUAUAUAUAUAUAUAUAUUGAUGCACAUAAUCAGUAAGGACUUUGGUACAACAGAAAGUGUUAAGUUUGUGACCUUCGCUAGAUUGCUCCGGUCACUAGUGUGGAUAAGUAUGUAAAUGGAUAGAGACAAGGAAGCAAACUCAAGAUGUACAUGGUGUUGGAAGUUUGAGUAGAAAUUUCCUUGUCCCACAUUGGCCAUUCCCAAAAGAGUUUAUCACUUUAUAAGGCUUUGUCCUUUAAAGAAAGUAAUUGGAGUAAUAGGCCUGGAGACUAAAAUUGGGCUCACCCUUGGGGUUGGGCUUUGGGGUGUAUUAAUUAUUUGGUAAUAAUAUAUAAUUAAUUAUAAUUAAUAUAUAAUUAAUUUCGAAUUUAAAUUAAUUAAUUAUUUUUUCCAACAGACUCAUCUUUUCAGAUGAAGUCUGAAGUGUGAAAACGCAGAAACAAAAACACCCAUCUUAGCAGAUGUCUCUCAACAGUUGCAUCCCUUCUUUAUACCUGUUGCGAACAGGUACAAUCACAUUAUAUAUACAUCCAUCUGCAUGGCAUUUACAAUAUAUAGAAAAAUCAUAAAUCUCCUCCUGCAAUCUUAAACAUCCUUACUGAGAGAACCACAUUAAUAUUCGCCAGAAGUCUAUUAACCGGUGCUGGAAUUUCUGACUUAGAUCGUUGAAUCCUGGUGGAACAGACGUCCGUAGAACUACAAGCACAGAGUAGGGACGAAAUUUCUGUUUCAAGGACAUUGCGGUACGCAAGCCUCGAUCUUCAAGUUGUCUGUUUUAUAAUUCAUAUUCUAGUUUAUAUUCUGUUAGUUUCUAUUGCAUGUAUUAUUUAUUAGCAUAUAUAAAUUAUCACAGAUUGUUGACUUAAAUCCAACACAUGGUUCACCCAUAUUGGCUACGUCCACGGAGUAGAGGAGUUCUCAUUAAUUGUGAAGGGUUUACACAAGUACAUAGGUUCAAGCUCUCAUUUUGUGAGUACUAGUGAAUGAUUUAGUACAAAUGACAUUAGGCAAUAUUGUGGGUGAAUGAUCUCCUUUUAUAGAAGAGAGUUUUUAGCUUUGUUCUGACAUUGACACGUGUCAUGUUGUGAUUGGCUUCUGAUGUUGACACGUGUCGCGCUAUGAUUGGCUUCUGAUGUCGACACGUGUCGUGCUGUGAUUGGCCUCCUAGUUGGAGGGAAACUCUUCUGGGUCCUUGAUGGUAUAACAUUGACCGGUGCUCGGUAGUUUCGGGAUUUGUCAAGUAUGGUACAAACAAUAUAUAUAUAUAUAUAUAUAUAUAUAUAUAUAUAUAUAUAUAUAUAUAUAUAUGGUCUUUAAGGGGACAUAAUCUCAUUUUCUUUUGAAAAAUAGGGAUUAGUUGUGGGCCCAAACAACAUUGAACUUCAAUGAUACAAAUGUCUAUUUUUCAAGUUAUACCUCAUAAAUCAUCCUUACAAAAUAUUAGCUGAACCAAAAAUAUUUGAGGUAUCUAAUUGAGUUCAAAGAGAUUGAGGAACACUAUGAUCUAAGAAACAUUGAAAUUCCAUCGUGACAAUUGAAUGAGCAAAUGAUUUCAGAUUAAAUUGAAUUUUUGCAAGUAUGAUCUAUCUAUGGAUCGAGAUUAACAACAUAGACGAUUCAAAUUGUUGAAGUUUGUUGUGAAGUGAGUCCCUUAACUAAUCCCUACUAUUUUAUAAAUUUGAAAAUCCCUCCGUAUAAAGGGUGUGUGUGUGUGUGUGUGUAUGAAAUCUUUAAGGGAAGGGAUCCCUAUUUGUUUUUUUAAAUGGAGAUUAGUUGUGGGGUCCACAUUACAUCGAACUUUAACGAUCCGAACGUCUAUUUUUCAAGUUACAUCUCAUAGAUCAUCCUUGCAAAAUAUUAGCCAAAUCCGAAAUGUUUAAGACAUCUAAUUAGAUUCAAAGAAAUUAACGAAUAAUUUGUUAUAUAAGAAACAAUGAAAUAUUAUCUUGAUAAUUAAAUAGGCAAAUGGUUUCAGAUUGAAUUGAAUUUUUGCAAGGAUGAUCUAUGAACUGAGACUUACAAAAUACACUGUUCAGAUCGUUGAAGUUCGAUGUGAAGUGGACCCCACACCUAAUCUCAAUUUUUUGAAAAAAAAAUGGGAAUCCCUUUGCAUGAAGGGCAUGAUAUAUAUAGACACACAUGUAGUUAGUACAAUUUUACAGUCUAUUCCACUGUAAUUUGAAAGCCCCAAUCCCUCCCACUACUAGUAGUAAUCGUAGUUUUAUUGCUGUCAGGUAUUUUUUUUUUUAUGGGCAAGGCAAGGAGAAAUUUUUAAUUGUGAUGAGAAUAUAGGUGAUACAUCACAUGUUUUUAUAUAAGUGGUAGAAAAUUUUAUUUUUUAAGUUAUUAUCUUUUUGGCACACAUAUCUCAUCAUUUGUAUAUUGACACGUGAUGUACCACCACAUGUGUCGGUUACACUGAAAAAUCUCUCCAAGGCAAAUCCCUGCUCUUCUUUCUCUCUCUAACAGUUUCCAUAAGUACAUUUUUGCUGUAUACUUUUACAACUCUUGUAUUUUUCAAACAUUUUUACUUUACCUCCUAUUUUAUUAUGUCUCAUUUUACUCCUACUCAUCUUUAAUGUCUCAUAUUAUCCUAUUUCAUCAAGGGAAAUUUUAUUUAAACCCAUGUAACCUCUUUCUACCCCCAACUUAAAUUUUAGAUGUUAAUUAUCUUUUUUACCCCAUUGCAUAAUUACCAUCAAGUACAAGAUGAAAUUAAUAAUAAAACUAAAAUUUAUCAAUAAACCCACACAUUAUAAUUAAACUCCACCAUGACUCCUUGUUUAUCUUAUGUUCAUUUCGACUAAAACCCUAUAACUUUUAUAGAGAAAAACAAGUUUUUUUCAGUCCGAGGAAAGUGCUUCUAUCGUCUAUGCAACAUUAGCUGUUGGUAAGGAGUUGCAACCAGACAAGGUGAAGGAAAAAUGUUAGUUUCCAACUGCAAGCUUUCAGUGCACUUUGAGGCUGCUGGGGUGAGAUUUCUUCACGCAUCGUAUAACACAUAAUUGAAAAGUUGGUGUUUGUGGAACCUUUCAAAAAAAUAAAAAAAAAACAAAGGGUACUCUCUCUUUCAUUCAGCAUGAAUAGUCCCUUGCAUGUCGAUCAGUGCAAACCUUGCUUCGGAGGUACCCAAGUCCAUUCCGAGAUAAAGUUGCCCCAGCCCCCACCCCCCCAAUUGGAACACCCACUUGAGCUUCAUCAUUACUACUUCCAACAACCAUUGGUACUGUUGGAUCUCUUGGCCGCCAUCUCGGUCUUGUAUGCUUGUUCUUCACGCCAUUACACAACCCAUUUCUUGAAAACUUCAUCUGUAGACUGAACAUCCCUGAAGCAUCAAACACUUAACAUCUUGAAUUUGAUGCACAACUACUGUAACUACUUGGUGUUGGUGAUGAGAGAGAGAGAGAGAGAGAGACCAUGUGUAUGCGUAUGUGUAUGUGUUGGGGAUGGCGACCAUGGAAACAUGAAGGAGGUUGCAUUUGCAGCCAUGGAAAAAAAUGCUAUAAAUGGAUGUAAAGAUCAUUUUAUAUUUUGAACUGGGUUUGGGAGGAUAGUUUAGGUAAUAACUCUGGGUUUAAAGAGAUAUUAAUUCAUAAAUAAAAAUUAAUAUGGGUGUAGAUAGUAAGUUGGGUGUAGAGAGAUGUUACAUGGGUUCAAAUAAAAGUUCUCUUUCAUCAACUGGGAACGACAUUCUCGUCGAAGGGGCAGCACUUUAGUCUUUCAGAAGUUAAUAUAAGGAGUGGAUAGAGUAAAUGAAAUUGUGAGUUUUAGAAUAAUUCUGGAAACUUGAGUCAUUUAUGUAGAGGUUUGGAUUUUCGUUUCGUGACAAAGACACUUUGCGGUUUCUGAUGUCCCAAAUAUGGAGGAGCUAAAAUGACCAAAUAUAGCUCAUGUCACAUCGCCAAACUAAUAUCACCUUCAACUUAGUUGAUGGAAUAAGGUAAAGUAGGGCACAAAUGAUGAAUAUAUAUGGCAAAGUGAGACGAAAUUGAAUGCAGAGAAUAGAAUGAAAUUUUGUGUAAUAUAUAACAAAAGUUAAGUAUAUAAUCUUUUCAUCUCCUCAGUACUGAGCUAUGCACUAGUAGAUUAAACAUUUAAAUUAAAGAAACGGCUAAAAAAGAGAAACAAUUUUUUAGCUAGAUAAUACUUGCAUCUCCUAUGGAGAGAAUAAAUUACGAAUAACGUAUCCUCAUCGUAUAAUAAAUUUAAAUCGGAACCGCUCAAUUUCUUAAUUUUUAUUUGGACAUCAUCCUUACUAACAAUCAUUAGAAUCAAAGAUCGUUUAAUGCAUUCAAAUGUAUGAAACAAGUUGAUGGUAUGAGUAACAAGUAACAUAUUGAUGAUGAAUCGUCAAUCUAUUUGAUACAUUUAGAUGAUUAAACAAACUCAAUUUCAAAUGAUAUUUUUUGUAAGAAUGAUCUUUAAAUAAAAAAUAAGAAAUUGAGUGAUUCCGAUAAUAAAACUUAUACGGCAACGAUACAUUAUUUGUAAGGAGAAGAAUAUGUGCAUUCCAGCCCCUUUGAAAUGAUGCAAGUAUUAUCUUUUCCCGCCUAACCGCACAACCAAGUCCUAUUAAUCACAACUAUAGUAAAAUCUUUACACAGUGUGUUGGGACCAAACUAAUUUAUAUCUAUAGGGAGGUUAUUACUUAAAGGAGUGUAGCGAAAAAGAUAUUUUUUGACUUAGUUAUACUUAAUGAAUGUUAUAUGGAUACAAAGAACCAGAUUAAGAGUUGAGUCAUGCCAAUUUUUAAGUAUAACAUCGCAAAAAGAAAGACACAUAAUCUCUAAAAUAUUUAUUUCAUCUCAAAUUUUUAUUUGUAACCAUAUUGCAUAGCAGCGGCGGUUCCCACUGCUGAAAAAAAAAAAAACUACUUAUUAUUAUUAUUAUUAUUAUGUGGAGGCAAGUUUCUGAAGAAACCUAGAAAAAUUAUACUUAUUACAAUGUAGAAUUUAUAGUUAUAUAUAACUGGCCCAAGUUGAGAUCAGAAUUUUUUAUAAUUACAUGAAAGUUAUUCUUUUAUAGAGCAUCACUAUAGAAAAAUACAUAAACAAGUUCUAUUAGAGCCUUUAAGAUGCACGCGCUUCUGCUCAUCACUCUAAAGUUGUAGUAAUGUUUAUCAUAUUACUUAAAUUACUGGAUGAGUUUAAAUUUUGAGAUUUAUAUUUAUUCACUACAUAAAUCUUAAAAUUUAAACUCAUAUAACUAACGUGAAGAGUGUCGCCAUUAUUUGAAAUGGUGAAUAUCACCGUCCCUUGAGAAUGAUGAUAAAAGUACUCCCUUUAAAGAUGAUGGUGUAGCCUUUAAAAUAGGAUCUUAGUAAGCGUUUAAGUACAAGAAGAAUAGUCAACAAAGAGGUGCACAUGAGAGUGGAAGCGACUAUUUUCUCAAAUUUAAUAUUCGAUAACUUAGUAAUGUUUUUGUCUCAUUUAAACUUAGAAUUCCUUUAAAUACAAGAAGAAUAGUGAUGAAAAGGGAACAAACCAAAUCAUUACCGCUCGUAACCUAACCAACUAGCCAUGGCACAUGAGCAAGUCCUAUUUAUGAUCCUCUUCCUUCUCUUAACUAUCCCUCUUAUUCUCUUCCCCACCCUAACCUCAAAACUAUUUCAAUCACACCACCCUCGACUCCCUCCAAGCCCCUUAGCCCUACCCAUCAUCGGCCACUACCACCUCCUCGGCCCUCUCCUCCACCGCACCUUCCACAACCUCUCUCACCACUUCGGCCCCUUAUUCUCCCUCCGGCUCGGCUCUCUCCAGUGCGUUGUAGUUUCCUCCCCGGACCUCAUAAAAGAGUUCCUCAGCACCCACGAGCUCUCCUUUAUAUCCCACGGACAGUCCCUCGCUAUUGAAAGCAUGACCUACAACGCUUCCCUUGCAUUUGCACCCUACGGGCCCUACUGGAAGUUCAUAAAAAAAUUGACAGUGAACGAGCUUCUAAGCAACCGUAGCAUCCACAACUCUAUGCCACUUCGAACCCAAGAGUAUCUAAAGCUUCUAAGGCUUUUGGCCAAGAAAGCUGAGAGUUGUGAACCUGUGAAUCUCACUGAGGAGUUUCCAAAGCUCUGGAACAAUGUGACUGUGGACAUGAUUUUGGGGACAAAGGGUUCCAGCGCAGAAGGAAGGGUGGCGCGGGCGGAGGAGGCGAGGCUGGUGGUGCGGCAGGCCACGAGACUUUUUGGAGAGAUGAGUUUGUGUGACUUUUUUUGGGUUUGUAAGAAGUUGGAUUUGGGAGGGUUUGUGAAGAGAAUUGGGGAUACGCAUAAGAGGUUUGAUGUGUUAGUGGAGAAGAUUAUAAGAGAAAGAGAAGAAAUGAGAAACAAGGAGAAGAAGGAGGAGGUCAAAGAUUUUCUUGAUAUUUUGGUUGAUAUGUUGGAGGAUGAGAGUUUGGAGGUUGAAUUUACAAGAGUUCACCUUAAGGCUCUAAUUACGGUAAUAAUUAGCUUCUUCGCGUUCUACUUUUUUGAACUGAGUGUUUUUAACCGAAUCUUGUCCACCCUUACAACUACUAGCAUACUUUACUUUUACCAUACAAAUUUAUAAUCAGAAUCAUUCAUUUUUUAUUUCUCAUUUAAAGAUCAUCUUCAUAUAUAUGAUUAAACAACCUUUAUUUUGGUGAUAAUUAAGAAAAUUAACGAAUUUGAUUAUGAAGUUAGAAUAUCAUCUCAAGGGGCGGAUGCAUGUGGUAGUACACUACGUCGUGGAGGCAAAUAUCGUCCUUUUUUAACUAUGUGUUUUUUGCAAAGUUUAAUUCUAACUAACCUCUUAACACGCACGGCGGAGCCCUAUGGAGGCCACAAUAGGCCAUGGCUUAUCCUGAAUUUUCAUCCAUUUAUGAGUAUUGUGUGCUAGUUUUUACAUUAAGAAUUAUACGAUAUAGUGGUAGAAACAACUUGAAGAUUUCCGCAAAUCACAAGUCUGAGACUUGGUUAUGCUAAAAAUCUUUUCAUUUAUUUUACCCUAUAAACCUCAUAAUUUGUAUGUGGUCCAAUAUUAGUAAACAUAGUGUUGGGUCCUGAGUUCAAAACUCCCUCAUCUUUUAAAUUAUUGUAAUAGUUUUGAACCCUCCCGCUCCCUUUAAGAAUUAUAAAAUUAAAAAUAAAAAGUUAUAAUUAGCCAUCUGUUUUACCAUAUAAGCCUUCUGAUGCCAACAAUCUUUUGAUUUUUUUUAAACCAAUUCCUUUUUUUUUUUUGUUAGUUUAUAAGCUUUAUAUAAACCAAGAUCUAUACAAUCUAGAGGAAAAUUCAAUUAUGUUGAAAGAAAAAUAUCAUAAUACUAGUUUUGAGCUAGUUACCUUAUUGUUUUCAUUUAAUGUGUUAAUCAUUUUUUGCAAGCUCAUAAACAAGCUAGUUCUUAUGAUAUAAUAAUACUAAAUUUUUCAUACAAACUUUAAAGCUCCAUCACUCUUAUUCAUUUUCCAUGACAAUUAAUACAAAAACACACCCAAAAAAAAAAGAAAAAAAACCUUUAAUUGGUCUCCAUUUAAUUAUAUUGCAAUAUUUUUUGUCACAUUUCUUUCAUUUGGCUUAAAGGCCCCUUCUCGAAUGGAUUUCUGACUCCGUCACAAUUAACACACGUUUAUGGGUCUUCUUUAAUUCUUCCAUAGUUAUUUGCAUAGGUAGACAUUUUUAUUUUUUUAUUGUUCAUGUAUGUAGAUAUAUGUAUAAAAAUAAUAGGAAACUUCAUUUUAAUCCUUGGCAAAGAUGACUUUUAGACUAAAAUCAUGAGUAAAAUCAAAAUCUAAUUUUAGUCUCUUGACACAUUAAUCACCUCAUUUAUUAAUUACAUUUUGAUGUUUUAAUUAUUUCUCUUUUUCUUCCUAAUUUUAAUGUAUUGAUUUUUCAUUUCAUUAAUUGUAAUAUAUUUUGGUGUAAACAUUUAGAUAAACUAAUUUUUGUUAUACAAUAUAUUUCGAUAUACUUGGUCUUCUUCAUUUAAGUACAUUAAAUUCAUUAUAAUAAUUUCGGUAUACACAUUUUGGUACAUACAUUUCGAUACAAACAUUUAGGUACAUACAUUUCCGUACUAACAUUUUGAUGCAUACAUUUCAGUACACACAUUUAGGUACAUUAAUUUAAUAUAAUACAUUUCGGUACUAACAUUUAAAUACAUUAAUUCAAUAUAAUACAUUUUGGUACUAAUAUUUUAGGUACAUUAAUUAAAUCUUUCAAGUUUGAAGAAUGUUAAAUAAAAUUAAUAAAUUAAAAAAAACUUUUUUUGGUCAAAAAAUAAAUUAGAAUGUGUAUAUUAAUAAGUGAGACAUUGAAUAAAAUACAUAUUAAUUAUUUUGAAUUAAGAACACACCAAGGGACUAUAAUCAAUAAGUAAUCUAUCACCAGGUUUAUUUUAAAUUUCAAACUUCUUCAACGAUUAAAGUUAAAAAAAACCCCUAAAAAUAAAAGACAAAUAGAAUACAGAAACUGAAGGCGAAAAUGAAAAUAAAUGGACAUGAUCGUACGUAUCGUAGUUUUAUACACGCGAUCUUUAUAGUGAAAAAAUAAGGAUUUCAUAGUAAACUCAAUUGGUAAUAUGGAAGUAGCCUAACAUCUCACAAACAUUAAGCACAUAAAAUAUCCAUUCUUUCUCUGAUGUGAGAUUCACAUUCUGACAAAGUUUUUCUUAUUUGUUACACUUUUGCUUGUAUGUGUUCUUCGUGUAUGUGUGUGUUACGUGUUUGAUAAUCAAAGUCUAGUUCUAGUAGGAUUUUUUUUUAUCAGAGUAGUUUUAAUGGUUUAAAUGUACAUUAGUAGUAUUCAUCUCCACUUAUGAGUGAUAACUCAGUACUACGGUCUAGUAGCAUUCUUUUUCACUUUAAGUGAGAAGUCUAUAUGUUCGAUUUUCGCCAAAGACGAAUUUGAACCACAUUAUUAGUGGCUCAUUGUGAGGCUAAGUCCACCCCCUCCCCUUAGUUGUAUUAAAUAAAAAGGUACAAAGUUUUGUGACUAACAUACAUUAGAAGUCAAAUUACACAUAUGAGUCUUCAUAUUUGCCUUUGAUAUUGAUGUACCCUUAAGUACAUUUAUUCUUCAGGAUUUAUUCACGGCCGGAACAGACACAAACGCAAUUUCACUAGAAUGGGCGUUGGCAGAGCUCAUCAAUCACCCAAGGGUGCUCGAGAAAGCGAGGGAGGAGAUCGACCGAGUCAUCGGGAAUAAACGACUCGUCGGAGAACCGGACGUGCCAAAUCUUCCAUACCUCCAAGCCAUCAUAAAAGAAACAUUUAGACUACACCCACCAGUGUCUCUGGUCACAAGAAAAUCUGGACAACAAUGUAAGGUUGGAGGGUAUGACAUCCCAACAAAUACCAUGUUGUUUGUGAAUGUUUGGGCCGUUGGAAGGGACCCGAAGAUCUGGGACUGCCCAUUGGACUUUUGGCCUGAAAGAUUCCUACAACUAGGUUCGGACAACAAGGUGAAUUCAGUAGAUGUGAGAGGGCAACAUUUCCAACUGCUUCCUUUUGGGUCUGGGAGGAGGGUGUGCCCUGGUGUGAACUUGACCAUGAAAAUGCUACCUGGGGUACUUGCAGCUAUGAUCCAGUGCUUUGAUUGGAAGGUUGUCGGGUCCGACCGCAAUAAUAUGAACCGUGAUGAUGUUCUUGAAAUGGAUGAACGGCCCGGAUUUACUACUCCAAGGGCGCAUGAUCUUGUGUGUAUUCCAGUUGCCCGAUUCAGCUCACUCAACAUCCUUGAUCCAUAAACUACAGGGGAAUGGGGGGUUUAAACUCAAGGACCGGUGGAUUGAGGAGGAAGACCUUAUCCACCUGUACAAUCCCCACUUUCGCUAACUCUUAUGUGGUCACAAAAAUAUUAUGAACAUUAGUGUGCUGUAAUGUGUGUUUUCAUUUGUACUCUAAUAAAGAAAUCUUCAAUUAUCCAUCUGCAAGGUCAGUUGAUCAUAUCAUUAACUUUUCCUUUAUGAUUUGCUGCCUUUGGUGGGGUGGCUUUCUAUCCUUCUGAUUCCGCUUGAUGGCUUGGACACGACAUGAUUAAUCCCUUCCGAACAGACUGUGUAAUGCCCUCCAAACGAAAGAUGCUCGAGGCGCAUGGGAAUAUUGUGGAAUCUGCCUAUAUAAUGGGGGUAUUCUUAUCUUAUUCGAAAAAAAUUCACACGUCAUCUCCAGGAUUUUUAAGAUUAUUUUGGAUCCACGAGAUCUCUAAAAUUUGACUAGUAUUAUCAACUCUUCAAAGCAAACACCAACCGUACCAAGCAAACUUGUUCUAUUUUAAGUUGUUCUCCUAAGUUUUAAAUAGAUUUUAUUUUUAAUUAGAAAUUUGAUUUGAUUUGGUCUAGUUUUCCUUGUCUUAUUGACAAAUGGUUGAUACUAUAUAUUUUCGUAUUAUUGAUCCUUUGUAAUCUUAAAACUUCCAUAUGAAGAAGAAUAAAAUAUUAAAAUUGUAUUUGAGUUUGUGAGAUUAAUAGAGAAUUUUGAAUUUAUAUAUACUAAAACUCAAAACAAAUUGUUUUACUGUUCAUUCAACAGUGUGCUUCCUGUUUUGACCCUGCUAAGUUUGUGUUAUUACUUCUCCUGUCACUGUCUCUUUAAAUAUAUAUUCCUUGGUGUGUGCUUUUUGUAGACGAUAUAGUGUUGAUAGAUAAAACUCAGGAGGGGGUAAAUGUGAAGCUUAACCUUUGGCGGGAAGUGUUGACUUUAAAGGUCUUUGCCUAAGUAGGUCAAAGACAAAGUAUAUGGAAUGCAAGUUCAAUGGGAACAAAGGUUCAAUGAGUUAGGGAUGAGGAUUGGAGAUCAGAAAGUACCAAAUAGGGAACGUUUUUGCUACCUUGGAUCUGUCUUGGAAAAGAACAAAGAAUUGGAUAAAGACCUCAACCAUAGAAUACAAGCUGGAUUGAUGAAGUGGAAGAGUGCAUCGGGUGUGUUGUGCAACCAUUGUAUGACACUAAAACUCAAGGAAAAAUCUUUAGGACUGCAAUAAGGUUAGUAAUGCUUUAUGACACGGAAUGUUGGGUAUUCAAGCAUUAAUAUGUACACAAAAUGAGUGUAUCGAAGAUAAAAAUGCUUCGUUGGAUGUGUGGGCACAUGAAAGGAUAAGAUUAGGAACGAGGAUAUCUGAGGUAAAGUAAAAGUAAUCGAAUUUGAAGAUAAGAUCAGAAAAUUUCUGUUAAGAUGGUGUGGACAUGUGAAAUGAAGUCCUAUAGACGCUACAGUUAGAAGAUGUGAUUACAAGACUAAGGCUCAAGGCUAAAGGGAUAGAGGAAGACCUAAGAAAACUUGGAAAGAGAUUCUAAGAAAAGACUUGGAGUACUUAGAUUUAACGAAAGAUUUAGCACAAAACCUAAAACAGUGUUGUUCAAGGAUUCAUACAGCCAACCCUACUUAGUUGGAUAAGACUUUGUUGUUGGAUAAGGCUUUAUUGUUGUUGUUAAUGUUUCCUUAUUUCUCUUCCCUCUUACUCCUCCCCAACUGCGACUCCGACUCCCCAUUGGAACGACAAAUCAAAAAAUCACCAUUUUUAUCUCCUUCUCCAAAUCAACACAUUCAUUGAUUAAUCUUAGGUCGCACCCGAACCCUUAAAAUCCUCAAACCCAAUUUGGGUUCGACAUUCCCGGCGACUUUCAGGCCUUUUCUGGUGACAGCCGACCCUGCAACCACAAUUAUUCGACUCAGGAGAGUCCCAACAAGAACAUUCGAGCUUAGCGUGCUUGAAUCUACCCCUUGAUCCAAGAGUUCUAUAAGCCUUGCUUGCAGUAGGUUUUCCGACUAAGAUUCGAGUUUUUUAUGGGCCAAUUUAAGGCCUUUCUGACCAUUUUUGGGUCCGGCGAAGGUAGUAGGGAUACAACAAAUUAUUUUUACGGAUACAACAAAUUAUUUUUACGGAUACAACAAAUUAUUUUUACUUACUUUCAAAAUUAUUUUAUAAGUAAUUUUUGUAUCUGUGAAUUGCUUGAUUCAAAUGUUAUAUCUCAUCUGCAUAUUGAGGUUUUCUGACAUAAAAUUUCCACAUUCCACAUAUUGAUAUAAGGCUAAAGAUCGAGAACGUACUAAACCAUCUAAUUUGUCUAAUGGAUCGCCGUAGUUGUUGGCCAGUAUGCUUGAAAUGGAACCUAGUGAUAUAUCCUACAAACAGGGGAAGAGAACGGUGCUCCAGAUCGAGUUUUAAGAGAUCCCUUCAAUCUGUUAGGGCUUUGCAUACAAUGGCUAUGUAAUAUAUACAUAUAUAUAUAUAGAGAUAUACAUACAUAUACAUACAUAUCUGAUCAUGUAGACCAAAAUAGAAUGGGUUACUAAUCUGUAGUGAACUGGAUACAUUCAUUGUAUUGCAAUAAUUUCUUAUUCAAAUGAUUAGGCCCUCUCAUCCACCGCACCUUCCACAACCUCUCUCACCGCUUCGGCCCCUUAUUCUCCCUCCGCCCGGGCUCCCUCUAAUCCAUGUAGUUUCCUCCCCGGCUGUCGGGCUUGCCAGCUUGGAAGCUGUAGCGCACAGCUUGCAAUGAGUGAGUUUUGAGAGAAAUUGCUGCUGAGGAUGGCAAUAUAAUCCGUCAAAUCUGAUCCCCACAUGUAACCGACCUGAAUAGUUUUGUUUUGAGUAGCAAAUUUCGGGUUUUUUACGGUUAUGGGUAACCGUUGGGUAAAUUGUUCGGUUUCGGAUUCGAUUAUGGUUAUAGGGGUAUCCGUUCUGAACCCGUCCCGUUUUCAUUCUUUAAUAAAAAAAUAUAAAUAUUUAUUAUAUAUAUGUUUUUAUAAAAGAAUGAAAUCCAUGUGCAGUGUGUAGACUUCAAACUUUAGUACUCCUUGGGAGACUACUAGGGUGCGUUUGUUGCGCCGGACUGUCUCGGACUGGACUAGCUGCCGAGACUAAGCUGGACUGGCUUAGACUGGACUAAGCUGGACUAACUUAGUGAAGCGUUUGGUGCAGUCUCGGACUAAGAAGCAGGAUAAGAAAAACAGUACUGUUCACCAGAUUUGUGUUUGCUUAGACUAGGACUACAAAUUUUUGCCAUUGUGUAAUAGAGUAAUGCUACAAAUCUCAUGAUAUGGGUUAAUUGGAGCAUAUUUUUGCCAUGUAUAUUAUGAAUCUUAAAAAAAAAUUGACAAUUGUUUUGUUUCUAUUACCUGCUAAUAGAAUUGGGUUUAAUUUGCAAAUGUAGCUUGAAGAGUUAAGACUGAAAAUGCUCCUAACAAUUUCUUUCCAUGUCCUUCUUGCUCAUUAAGCAUAAUUCUAUGCUCAUUCACAUUAUGCACAACCAGUGGCGGAGCCAGGAAUCUUACCACAAGGGGUCGUAGUGUAAAAGUCCAGAAAAAAAAUUUAGGAUGGAAAUGUUAAAGUUAAUGCUUUACUUAAACUGAUUAUGUGUAAAAGGGCUGACUGUUGCCUUUAUCAGUCGACCCAUUCUAUUUAUCAAUCGACCCAUUCUAUUUAUCAGUCGACCCAAUUACUUCAGUCGGCUUAUGUAUUGAACUAAUUCUGUGUAAAAGGGCUGACUGUUGCCUUUAUCAGUCGACCCAUUCUAUUUAUCAGUCGACCCAUUCUAUUUAUCGACCCAUUCUAUUUAUCAGUCGACCCAUUUUAUUUAUCAGUCGACCUAGAGUAAAUUCAAUCGAUCUAAAGUAACUCCUAAAUACAUGCAGAAUCAUUUUGUUACUCAAUGCAUAAUCAGUUUGUUACUUCAUGCAAAAUCAGUUUGUUACUCAAUGCAGAAUCAAUUUGUUACUUCAUGCAUAAUCAGUUUGUUACUCAAUGCAAAAUCAGUUUGUUACUAUUAUAUACUAUAUCAAAUUUUAUUAAAAAAAAGUAUAUAAAAUAUUUGAUUUGGGACAAGGGCAUUUUAGUAAUCAUACUGGUUUAUAUUCCGAUUCUGCUGAAUUAGUAAACAGCUUUAUGGAAUUGUAUUCCGAUUCCAGACAGUUUUAGUAAACAAUUUCAACAAGAAUCUGAUUCUGAUUCCACCUCAUUUCAAUUCCUCCUCAAUCAAAUUCCUCCUCAAUCCGAUUCCUCUCAAUUUGAUUACGGAUUAGUAAACGCGCUAUAAUAGUGGCCAAUACAUGCAACUUCAACAAAUACAAGUACAUAAGAUCUCCAUAAUUUAGAAAAUCCUAGUUAACAUUAGUUAACAUUAGCCAAAAUAGAUCUCUAUAAUUUACAAAAUGGCUAGUUAACAUAAGCCAAAAUACUAGUGCAAAGCUAAGUUAUAAGUCAUAACAUAAGAUUGUAUGAUUAAUAAAAUACAUCCAUGUUAACGUUAAUAAAAAUACAUCCAUGUUAACAUUAGCCAAAAUCCUCAUCCGCUUGCGUUGUCGCUUAAAAGCCUUUGGACGAACACUUUCUUGAGUUCCGGUUUGAUUGCCCUGAACACUCCCACAUUUUUUGGUUUAUCCAAAAUAAGAGACAAUGCAUCAAUUUGAUCCAUAGGAGAGAGACCCAUUUCUUCAAGUUCAUUAGCUAUGUCAGUAUGAUCUGCAGUACCUUGAACUAAAGCUUCAGUUACCAUUUGCAUCCUCUUCCCACUUUCAACAUAAAAAUCUUUCAGUCCACUGAUAAUUGCCUCGGUUCCAUCACUUGAACUUCCCACAGCUCUUUUCCUCUUUCUUUGGCUAUUUUCAAAUGGGGUGCUUUGUUGGCUUUGUUGGUUCAUUGAAGAAACAAAAUUUUCACCUCCAAUAUCACUUUCACCAACAUGAUCAUGACUUUGUUCCUCCACCAUUUGAGCAGGGGUUUCGGCUACAUUACCCGUAGCCCGAUCUUUUCCAAAUAUAUAUGCAAAUCUAUCAAACAGUGGAAAAUGUUUGCUUCUCCAUCCAUCGGCUUCUUUAUUUCUCUAAGAUUAUAUCAACAUAGCAAAACUAAAAUUUUAGCAUGCGUAACAAAUAUAGGAGCAAGAAUAUAACUAAUGCAUAAAUAAAAUAGGAUAUGAACCUGCACAUAAGUUUGCCAUGCGUCAUCACUGUCAACUUCAACGCACUUUUUGACAUCAUUCCAUGCAAAUUCACUUGUGUUUAUCAUGUCAACGACCAUACUAUAUGUUUUUUUCCAUUUCUUCAACUUGGACUCAAUAUGUGGAUUUGCCUUUUAUAUUUGAAUGAGGACAUAAAACAUUGACAGCUUUUGCUAUUUCAACCAAAGUACCUUGUUUGAAAGCACCGGUGUCACACCGUUGCUUCCGAGCAACAAAAUCCUCAAGAACUCCUAGUAAUACUUCUUCCUCAAAUGCUUCCCAUUUACGCCUUCUUCCUUUUGCCUCUUGAGUAGCAUUCAAAAUAUUUUCGUUAUCCAUACCUAAACAAAAAAUAUUUUAAUGAAGGAAAAUACCAUACAAAUAAUCAAUUUGAAUAAUAUCCAAUCAACUUGCAUAAUAUCCAAUCAACUUGCAUAAUAUCCAAUUAAUUUGCAUACCAUCCAAUCAUUGUGCUAAUAUCUAAACAAAUGCAUGAUAAAAAAAAAGGAAUACUAAAAUAAAAUGUUAUCAUUAAAACAUAUAGCUAGUUCGGUUGCUGGUUCCUAAUUGCUCUCCACUCAUUAUACAUUUCCUGAGCCAUAUCAUUCCUCAUUGCAGUCCACUGGUCCGAUGUUUGAACACUACCAACAUAUUCACCUUCUUCUGUAUUUUGUCCAUCUUCUAUUAUUGGCAAAUUCUCCAUUGGAUCUACUGACAUCUCUUGCCUAAUAAGAUUGUGUAGUAGGCAACAAGCAGUAAUUAUUCGACCUUGUGUCCUUAUCAGAUAGAAAGAUGGACUCCUUAGUAUCGACCACCUUCCUUUUAGCAAGCCAAAACAGCGUUCAAUUACAUUCCUUGCCUUAGAAUGCUUCAUGUUAAAAUAUUCUUCCUUAUUAGAAGGUGUUCGUCCCUCCCAUUCAGAUAAAUGAUAAGGUAUUCCUCUAUAGGGUGCAAGGAAUCCUUCACCAUUUGUAUAACCACCAUCUACAAGGUAAUAACAACCUAAUGAAAAAAAAAACAGACCUUAUUAGUGUUUUGUAGUUGACAAACAGAACUAAACCUAACUUAGAAAGUUGAGACUAAGUAAUAGUCUUACCCGCUGGUACCUUAAAACCAUUAGGCCUACUAAUUGCAUCAUGUAGCACUCUAGAGUCUGAUGCGGAACCCUCUCACCCCGGAAACACAUAUAUGAACUGCAUAUCUCCUGAACACACACCUAACACAUUAGUUGCGACUCGACCCUUUCUUGUUCGGUAUCUUGGUUUGUCAAUUUCAGGUACAUGCACAUCAAUGUGUGUUCCAUCCAAUGCUCCCAAGCAAUUCUUAAAAAUAAAAAAUAAAAAACUUUUUGUUAAUUUAUACAAAGGGAAUGAAGAGUUAAAGCUUAGGGAAAAUGAAAAAAAUUUCUCAUCAUACCUUAAAACAUCGCCACCUAGCAUCUGUAGAAUUAAUAGGCACAGGCUGGGGGACUUUUAGUAGGAUACCUUGUAAUCGCAAAAUUCCUUGCAAUACUCUAUUGAAAUACCUACUUAUAGUCUCUCCCGACCUAUAAAAUCUACCGCCAACACUACGAUUCUUAGUAUGAUGUGCUAAUAUUUGUAAAGUCAUACACACAUGUUCCUCUACAGACACCAAACCAUCAGUUUUUACCCUCCCAUCUUGACGAAGUAAGUCGCAUAAUAUGCCAAAAGUCCUUCUAUCCAUUCUCAAUUCGUUAACACAUUCAGUAUCAGUAUUCCCUAUUAUACCAUUCAGAUAACACAAACUAAUCUCUCGUCUAAUAAGUGAACGGUUAGUCAAUGUGGGUCGUUCAACAUGUCUCUGUUUGCCACGUAGCAUCAUCACCACAAGAAUCGUACAAAUACAAAUUGUCUCCAAAUAAGACAUCUCUAACAAUAAGAUCAAUAAAAGCUUCCUUCGAUCCAUAUCUAUCCAAACAAAAAAAAAAAACAAAAAACAAAUUCAGGACAUUAUAUAUGUAAUAUUUACUGUUAUUAAGGGUGAUGGAAAUGAAGUGAUUAUGAUACGAAAUGAACUAGAUCAAAGUAACUAGCGAAGUCACAAUCCGAGGCAUCAAAUAUACGGGUGGUGUUGGAAAAAAAAAAGUUAUCAUUAACCCGAGGCAACAAAUAUACAGGUGGCGUUGAAAAAAAAAAAGUUAUCAUUAACCCGAGGCAUCAUAUUCAAAAUGUUCUACUCUUAUAUAUCUAUAAACAUGUGUCUAAGAACACUAGUAUGAGGAUUGCUAUCAUUGCUAGGCAUUGCAUGUGAAGAGGGAAAUUAAAGGACACCUGUAAUGCAGUAGCCUUAGCCUUAGCCUUCCGUUUAUGCUCCUCUUCUCUGCAACCAACAACCACAAAAAAAUGCAAUUCAGCAUCAACCCCACACAAUACAAAACAUUCACAUUGUAAUAUCAUGGUUAUAAACCAAGUACAAAGCACAGACACUCACACUCACUGCACACACACACACACACUGCAUACACACACACACACUGCAUACACACACACACUGCACACACACACACACUGCAUACACACUGCACACACACUCACACUCACUGCACACACUCACACUCACUGCACACACACACACACUGCAUACACACACUCACUGCACACACACACACACACUGCACACACACACUGCACACACUCACACUCACUGCACACACACACACACUGCAUACACACACACACUGCACACACACACACUGCACACAUACUGCAUACACACACACUGAAUGUACGACAUUCAAGAUUCCCCAAGUUUAACACAACAACAACUCCCGUCUCACAAAAUUCAGGAAUGCUAAUGAGUCUUAUUUCCAUGUAUACCAACAAAAGUCCCUGUUACAUACAUAGAAGGUGAAAGCACAUGCCCAGAAAACUUAACACUUCCACUGGACAUCAUAAUUAAGCUUUAGACAAAAGAAGUAAGCAUGAAACAAGGCAACUAUAUCAAAAGAAGUAAACUCCAUCAAUAUGUUGUCCUAGUCUUAAGUAUAUUGCUUUAUGUGAAAAUAUGUAACCGAAACUCCAUCAAUAGAAUCAGCAGGGGUUCUCAACAAUAGCACAAUAUUUUUAGAGCAAAGGCUUUGGAUUCAUUUAGUUGUAAACUUAUUCAAUAGAAUCUAUUCCUUUUUAAUUUGCAUAUUUAUAAUUCCUUUCUAUUUCCUAACAAGAUCAAAAGGCACAAACAAAAGCUUACCCUAUGCGAACACAAGAGUACCGAUCAUUGGCUUGUUCUAGGUCACUUCACAACAAGUCAACACUGAGAUUGUCCAAUAUAGGGAAAGUUUCUAAAUAGUUGUUAACCUUUAUUGUAUUUAUCUUUUAUAUGUCGACCUUUCUAGUAUGUCUGAUAACAAGAAACAAUUAACCUUAGGAAGUCAAGAGACGAAAUGCUCAAAAGCGCUGUUUCCUCUUUAAAUCAAAUUCGAAUCAAACUGUUUAAAAGAAAAUGAGAUCAACCGUUAACAUUGAAUCAUUUUCACUAAGUUGGUUUUAAGUAAGCAUCUGAAGGAUGCAUAUACUUAAAGACAGAAAUCUGAGUUCAAAUGCCUAGAGGUGUUGAAAACCAAGAUCAGACAUGAAUGGCCAACCAUUUCACACCCACUCACUCAUCUCACACUCACUCACGAAUUUUAGACACAUAACGAAACAAGACAAGAGCUCCAACCUCAACAUAGCAUACCAAUUCCUACUUACAUUACCAAUAAGGAAGCCUCUACAUGCAUGGUACCAGUAAAAAAUGGACCGCCAAUCCAACACAAUAAAAUAACAAAAUGAGGUGUGAACGAACAAGUAAAAAGCCACAAGUGUUAGAUACAAUAUACAUAGUCACAAUCACAACUAGACUAUUUCUAACAAGUUACAGAGGAAAAUUUCCUCUUUCACAAUCAAAGCUCAAAAAGGCGCUACACCUAGAAAUGAUGAUUCUACUUAAUAGAAAACUAUAAUCAUGUUGUAACUAGUGGCUGCAUCCCUGAGGAUCUGGCAAACCUAGUAACACCACCACUUUGAAGAAAUUAGAUAACGAAAUACCUCAUAGAAGUAAAUCCUCACCACCAAAUAUAUAUAUAUAUAUAUAUAGUUGUGUUCGUUGAGAGAACAAGCAUCGGUAAGGACCUACACGAUACUUGGUACUUCUCUUGUGCCACAAGUACAUACUAUAUGGUGAAAGGAAGGGAUGCUGAUACUGUGCUCAAAACCAUAAAAUUGAAGAAAAAAAACUAAAAUUAUCCACAAAAAUUGACAAUCUUUCUAAUCAAAAUUCAAAAUUAUUUCUGAGCAACAAGGAUAACACCAUUUUCUCGCAAACAUCAACCGAACAACUAAGUUAACCCUGUGACCCUAUGGGACCAGAUGAAACUAAUGCAAUGGCAAUGGUAAAAGCAUCAUAUUGUAUCACGAUUAUACAAAGCUACAACAAAACUGCAAUCCCAGUGGACAUUAAAAAUGACUGAUGCACUCACAGCUAUCAACUACUAUAUCAUCUCAAACUAGACUGUCCAAAUAGGCAAGGGGGCUAGAGAAUUCACUUAAUAUAUGGAAAAUAAUGGUAGAUCAAAAGAUCGAACAUUGAAAUCAUAACUGAUUUUGAUUUCUUCAAAUUAUAAGAAGGUAUAUCAUAAAUAAAAGGAUUAUACGAGGAAUCAAUCAGAACCCAUUAAUAAUGUCAUAGAUUUUGAACCCAAAACAACAAAAUCGAUCAGAACCCAAUAAUAAUUUCACAAUCUACAAAACAAAAUCAUAGAAAUAGGUCGUCGGAUUUGGAAUUUACCAGAUGAGGACGAGCAGGACGAGGGAGUAGGACGAGCGAGGAGGAUCAGCGAGGAGGAGGACCGACGAGAAAGACGACCAAGAAUGAGGAACGAGCAACGCUCUCAAAGAAGGGCUUAGCAAUCCCGUGAGAAUUGGGGUUCUCGCUAAGAACUUUUAGCGAAGGGGUUAGUCGGAGCGAGUACCGGCUAAUCCCAUUAAACUUAAUUCCCGUGCGAAACAAACACUGGACUAUAGUCCAGUCCAGUCCAGUGAAACUUAGUGAGCCCAAACAAACACACCCCUAAAGUCUUGAGCGUGCAUAUUGUGCAGUGUGCAGACUUCAAACAGUUUCUUUUAUAAACAGUUUCUUUUGAUGUAAGUUUGCUCUUAUACAUACAUUGAAUUAUGCAUAUUAAAUUUUUGAAACUGGAUAUUUUUUAAAUCAUACUUAUUCCUUGUUCAUUGUUUUCAUUGAAGGGGUUAUGUGAAGAUGGUCGUGAAGGAGGAAUUGGAACAUCAUGGGAAAACAAACGGGGGAAUCCGUUACCCAACGGGUUCAGUUACGAGGAAUACCCGUUCAGAUUUUUUACGGUUUCGAGUACGGGGAAAACAAACGGGUUCAGUUAUGAGGAUGGCACAUCCUAACCCAAUUCACCCCGUUGCCUGCACUUGCAGCCAAUGGGUAGGAGAAAAUGACAGAUACGACAGGCAGGGCAGUGGGUAAAGUGGGAACAAAGGGAGGUGGGGAAUCGAGAAAAAAAAGAGGAUAUGUUAGGGUUAAUUAGGGACAAGUGAUCCCUCUUAUGUUUUUUUUUUUUUUAAUGAUCCAAAACCUGAGCCGUUCAACUUAAAAAACGAGUUAUAUGUAGAAAAACUGGACUGUUCAAUUUGGGCUCUAGAUAUUGUAUUUUUUUUUUAUACCUAGUUAUGUGGAUUUUUAUUUUUUGUUGCCCUUCUCAAUCUUGGGCCCCAGACGGUUGCCCUGGUAGCAUUGGGUCUGGCCGGGAGUUAGUUUAACCUCACAAUAGGCGUCUAAUUUUUUUUAACUAAUAAUGUUUUUUAACCGUAUCUUGUCACCCUUAUAACUAGCAUAUUUUUACCAUAUAAAUUUUAUAACUAGACCCAUUCAUUUAUUAUUUCUCAUUUAAAGACCAUCUCUAUAUAUAUGACUAAAUAACCUUUAAUUUUGAUGAAUUUUCGAACGUGAGAGAUAAUAAGUUCAAAUGUUGUGAAUAUCGAGUUCGAAACCAAUUUUUUCCCCUUCACUCUUAGUGUAAAUAUAUUGUUGUAUUGAAUAAUAAGGUACAACUCCGCCUAUGUCUUACAUGGCCGGUCCCAAGCCCGGAUAAAGGAGGAGGGGGAGGGCGUCAGGUAGUCGACAGCCGGCACUCCAUGAUCACGUCGAAUCCUUAUGAAAAUGAAUCCAGAACAAAAUCGCGCUAAAGCUAGGGCGUCACCCGUAAGUGGCGCGCUGUGUGGCCCGAGCACAGUGAUAAGUGAGCAAGGGUCGCUGUAUCUCCAUCGGCACCCGGAUGCAGUGUUAAAUGAGCAAGGGGGCCAUAGAAACUUCUUUUCGAACGACUCCACUCAAAGUUGUUUGGGAGCAUAUGCUCCUAUCAACUUUACCCGGGACACACAAAAGAAGUACUUUGAUCCUAUUAGACGGGGGAGGGUGAAGAAGCUAGGACAGAAGGGUAGAGUUCAAGAGAGCAAAAUGCGUUUAGGAACGUGGAAUAUAGGAACCUUAACGGGAAAAUCUAUGGAAGUAGUGGAAGUUAUGGUGAGGAGAGAAGGAUAAAUAUUAUGUGCCUACAAGAAACUAAGUGGGUUGGUAGUAAGGCAAAGGAUCUAGAAAACUCAGGGUUUAAACUUUGGUAUUCGGGCACAAAUAGAACGAGAAACGGUGUUGGCAUCAUCGUGGACAAGACCUUGGUACAAGAUGUUGUAGAUAUCAAGAGGGUAGGAGAUAGAAUCAUGGCAAUCAAGAUUGUAAUAGGACAAGAACUUAUCAAUGUGAUUAGUGCGUACGCACCUCAAGUAGGGUUGGAUACGAGUUCGAAGGAGAAAUUUUGGGAAGAUCUUGGAGACUUGGUGCAAAGAAUUGCUCAGACGGAGAAGUUAUUUAUAGGAGGAGAUUUAAAUGGACACGUGGGCAGGGAGACAGGCAACUAUGGAGGUUUUCAUGGUGGCCAUGGUUUUGGGGAGAGAAACGAGGAUGGGGAAGCUAUCUUGGAUUUUGCAAUGGCAUAUGAUCUCUUCUUAGCCAACACCUUCUUUAAGAAGAGAGAAGAACAUGUGAUCACCUACAAGAGUGGGUCGUCAAAAACACACAAAUAGAUUUUCUUCUAAUGAGGAAAGGGGAUCGUAUAACUUGUAAGGAUUGCAAAGUUAUACCAGGAGAGAGCGUGGCUAAUCAACAUCGCUUGUUGGUGAUGGAUGUACAUAUCAAAAGAGUAAGACAAAAGAACAAGACUUGGAAGUGCCCAAGAACUAGAUGGUGGAAUCUAAAAGAAGAAAAAACAAGCCAUUUUCAAAGAGAAGGUAAUCACCCAAUGUGUGUGGGAUAGAGAGGGGGAAGCUAGCCAAAUGUGGGAUUCCAUGGCUAGUUGUAUCCGAAAAGUAGCAAAAGAGGUAUUAGGAGAGUCCAAGGGCUUUGCCCCACACCAAAAGGAAUCUUGGUGGUGGAAUGAGGAGGUACAAACAAAGGUGAAGGCUAAGAAGGAAUGUUGUAAAGCCUUAUACAAGGAGAGGACCGAUGAAAAUGGUGAAAGGUAUAGAAAAGCGAAGCAAGAGGCGAAGAAAGCUGUCAGAGAAGCUAAGUUAGCGGCUUACGACGAUAUGUAUAAACGACUAGAUACCAAAGAAGGAGAGUUGGAUAUCUAUAAACUAGCUAGAGCAAGGGAAAAGAAGACAAGGGACCUAAACCAAGUGAGGUGCAUCAAGGAUGAGGAUGGAAAGGUUCUUGCUACAGAGAACGCGGUUAAAGACAGAUGGAGAGGUUAUUUUCAUAAUCUUUUCAAUGAAGGACAUGAAAGGAGUGCUUCUUUAGGGGAGUUGAGUAACUCAGAAGAGUGUAGAAACUACUCCUUUUAUCGUCGAAUCCGGAAGGAAGAAGUGGUUGUAGCUUUGAAGAAGAUGAAGCAUAGAAAAGCAAUAGGCCCAGACGAUAUACCAAUCGAAGUGUGGGAAAGUUUUGGGAGAGACAGGUAUAACAUGGCUCACUGACCUUUUCAAUAGGAUUUUGAAAACGAAGAAGAUGCCAAAUGAGUGGCGAACGAGCACUUUGGUGCCUAUCUACAAGAAUAAGGGCGACGUACAAAAUUGCAUGAACUAUAGGGGUAUUAAGCUAAUGAGAGUCAUACAAUGAAGCUCUGGGAGAGAGUCAUUGAGCAUAGAUUGAGGCAAGAGACACGGGUUUCGGACAACCAAUUCGGGUUCAUGCCAGGGCGCUCAACCAUGGAGGCAAUCUAUCUCUUACGAAGAUUGAUGGAAAGAUAUAGAGAUGGGAAAAAGGAUUUACACAUGGUCUUUAUAGAUUUGGAAAAAGCGUAUGAUAGAUAGGGUCCCAAGAGACAUUCUUUGGAGGAUUUUAGAGAAGAAAGGAGUACGAGUAGCAUAUAUCCAAGCUAUAAAGGAUAUGUAUGAAGGAGCAAAGACUGCCGUAAGAACUCAUGAAGGACAAACCGAAAGCUUUCCCAUAACUGUAGGAUUACAUCAAGGCUCAUCCUUAAGUCCUUACCUUUUUGCGUUGGUAAUGGAUGAGUUAACAGGACAUAUUCAAGAUGAUAUUCCUUGGUGUAUGCUUUUCGCAGACGAUAUAGUGUUGAUAGAUGAAACUCAGGAAGGGGUAAAUGCAAAGCUUAACCUUUGGAGAGAAGUGUUGGAAUCUAAAGGUCUUCGCCUAAGCCGAUCAAAGACAGAAUAUAUGGAGUGCAAGUUCAGUGCAAAUGGGAGGCCAAAACGAGUUAGGGGUGAGGAUCGGAGAUCAAGAAAUACCAAAGAGCGACCGUUUUCGUUACCUAGGAUCUAUCUUGCAAAAGAACGGAGAAUUAGAUGGAGAUCUCAACCAUAGAAUACAAGUUGGAUGGAUGAAGUGGAAGAGUGCAUCCGGCGUGUUGUGUGACCGCCGUAUGCCACUGAAGCUCAAGGGAAAAUUUUAUAGGACGGCAAUAAGGCCGGCGAUGCUGUAUGGCACAGAAUGUUGG
rnacentral:lncRNA from 1 species